UUUUAAUUUCAACAGUAUUAUUACAAAUAAUAUCGAAGGGCUCCAAUUAGAUCAACACAAAAUUAAUCUCAUAAAAAGAAGUAUCAGAGGUUUGAGGUUCGAAUUUCGCGCGUGCAUUUAAAGGGGGAAAAAAAGAGGAAAAAAAAAAAGAAAAGAAACAAAACCAAAGGAGAUCGAGAUAAUUGAGUAAUGAAGUAACCUCAAUAAUGGUGACGCCAAUACCCUGAAAUUCCUUGUGGAUUUCAACCUUGGAGGUUCUUGAAUUUUGUGUAACAGGUCGAGCAUAAACAAAAGUUUUGUGACCAGAAGCAACACUUGCUUUCACCAUAUACUUACCGAGGUAUCCAGUACCCCCAAAGAUUAGUAUCUUUGGUUUUGUGUUCUCACCUUCCAUUUCUUCCUUUCACUUCAAUUUAUCUUUCAUCCUCCCUUCCCUUUUUACAUAUUUAUAUAUGAUAUCAGGAACUCACAUUUUUAGUGUUGAAAAUGUUAUACACACAGAAUCUGGUAAAUUUGUUUUCUUGAAAAAGUUGCUCCACCUAAACUAUUAUUUUUUAAUUUUCAUGAAUAAUCAAUAUUCUUAACCACAUAAAUUUUAUUGCCAUUAUUGUUCCCUGAAAAAAAAUUAUUUAAUUAUAAAUUUCAAUAGCUAAAUUUAUUAUUAAAAUAUUUGAAUUUUUUCAACCGCGAUAAAAAGAAGUCUAACCCGACCAACAAGUGCUAAAUUUUCUACAUGUUGAAAAUUUGACUUGAAUGUGGGAAAACAUUAAAGAAAAUAGGAUAAAAUAAUUGGAAUCAUAAUUCUCUCUUGAUCUGGUCUUGAUAUGAGUAAAUUCUAUUAAUACAAUUGGUGGUUAAUAAAUUAAAAAAAAAUUAAAUCUUAAUCCUACACUAAUACUAAAAUACAGGUGAUAUAAGAUCUAUAAAAGAUCAAGAGUAUUCAGAUUAAGGAUAUUAAUCCAAAUAAUUGCUCCGCAAAAGAGUGACAAUGAAAUUGCAAAAUUCUUUGACAAUUUUGUUCAUGCAAUUAAAUACCAAGUGGUGAGAGCAAAAACAAAUAAAAGGCCAAAGCCUUUUGGCUUUAGAAUUGAAAACGUGGGGCCUAUUUUGAAGAUUCUAUAAGUAAGCUUUUGGCUUUUGGACGAAGAGGAGAGGGAGCCGCCAAAGAGGAAGAAAAAAGGCAGACGCAAGGCAGAAAGGGAGAAGAAGAAUAGUGGCAGCAGUAGUAAUUUAAUUCUUCAUGACUGGUUUUAUUUAUUUUGUUGCUCUUUAUUCAAGUAUGUUUAGUUAAUUUAUUUAUAUUGAAAUUAAAGAUAAAAUCAUAUUUAAUAAAAUAAUUAUCUUUUUAUUUAAUUAAUUCCCUACACGUGUGUUUGAAUGUUUAUGAUUUUUGUUGAAAAUGUGAGACUCGACAGUUCAUGUAGGGGACUCAAUUUGUGGUGUUUCCGUGCAAUAAUGUUGUACGCUCUAGAUGUUAAAAUCAAUGGAGCUAUUUCAGCAGCUCAAAAUCCGAAAAUUGUCUCCUUAUUUCUGAGUGAUAAAUUGAUAACAUCUUUUAGUGUGAUAAAUUUAUAAUUUUUUACUUAGUAAUUUUAUCUCGGCGUCUUUGACUGUUUACACAUAAAUUGACAAAAUCAGCCAUGAUUCUUAUGUUUCUCCUUAUAAAUGGAUAAUUUAAAUUUGUGAUAAUAUAUAUUUUAUUUAUUUUUCUUUAAAUGAUAGAAUAGUAGACAAAGUUCAAAUUAAUUCCUUAUUUCCUUUAGUUUUAGGAUUCAAACUCGGAACCAACCAAAUAAUACUAUUUGAAAACUACUCUUUAGGCCGGCGACAAAUAAGUGAUAAUAAGUUUUUGGUUUAUAAACAAAAUGCCGACGUUUUCUAUGCGAAAUGAAUGGUGACUAUUGCUCUAUGCCACGAGCGAUUUUUGUGAGUAUUCAGAUUCUCACAUGAAUAUAUAAUACAAUGGUUGAUUGAUAAAAGGAUGACGGGUCUUUUGUGAGCUUUGUAGAUAUAUUUUUCUUCCAUUUGUACUAUUGAAAAAAAAGAAAAAAAGGGAUCCGAAUCUUCAAUUGAUUUUUUUAAUUGUUUUAAGGGGAAAUUAAAGCACUUACGUGGUUUUGUACAAUUUUUAUAAAUAUAUAUAGUUGUUUUAAAAAAUAGUGACAUCGUCUCUUCUUACGACAACUGUGUCUUUUAUUGUAGUGAUCGAAUUAUUUUUAUCUAGGCGUAUAUAUAAUCAUUUUGCUAAAUGAUGAAAUGUGACCAUUUUUUUCUCAUUUUUUUUCAUUUACAGUGCUGAUAUUUUCAUACCACAAUUUUUGUAAACCCUCCCCACUUCAAGAAAAUAAUUAUAAUAAAUUCACAUUAUUUUUAAGAAAACUCAAAUAAAGAAGAAGUUUGAGAAGUAAUUAAUUAAAUCUACCUUGAUUUGUUUUGUGACUUUAAUUUUUUUGUCAUAUUUGACUAAAAAGAUUGCUUUGUCAUAAUUUUGAAUUGAUUAUUUACGCUUAUAAGGUAAAAGUACCAAAAUACCAAAACAUUUACUUUAAGUUCAGAAUUUUUGAAUUUUAUACAAAAUUUAUAAUUUCUAAAAAAUGUAUCAAAACAAAUUUAUUAGAAUGAUUAUUAAGAUUUAGUUAAACUAACAAAAUAUUUUUAUGGCAUAAGACUCAUGUAAUUUAUUGGAUGUCAUGUUGUAAGUCACAAAACUAAAUACCUAGAUUGUUAGAUAUAGGAACAUUAUCACAUUAUCUUUGGAUAAUUUGGUCAUUUUAUGUAUCUUGGGUAAAACAUUGAAAUAAAAUUUAUCUUAAACCAACCUUAACAGCAAAUAUGGUUAAACAAACAUAAGUGAAAAAAAUACAUAAGAAUUAAUUGAUUAAUUGCCCAAUCUCUUUGUUUAACUCUAUUUUUUGAAAAUAAUGUGAGCUUAUUAUAACACUUCUAUCUCCCUCAAGAUUUACAUUCGGGUGACUAGCCAAAUAUAGAUGCUUGAAAACCAAAAGGCUUGGGGAAAUAAGAAAAUCUUUAUAUUUUCACUAUCUGUUUCAACAAAUUUAUACACAUGGAAUUUGGUAAAUUUGUUUUCUUGAAAAAGUUGUUUCACUUAAACCAUUAUUUUUUAAUUUUCAUCAAUAAUCAGUAUUGUUAACCACAUAAAUUUUAAUUCCAUUAUUGUUCCCUGAAAAAUAAUUGCUCGGUAAAAGCGUGAUAAUGAAAUAGCAAAAUUCUUUGACAAUUUUGUUCAUGCAAUUAAAUGCCAAAUGUUGAGGUUGGGGAUCAUUGAAGAAGUUGAAUGGUCUUUGGCCAUUAUGAAUGGUCGAUCCGCAAUUCAUUCAUGAUUUGUCAAUAAUUGCUCAUGGAAAUGGCGGAUAUUUCACCGGAUUUUGGACCGCGAGCUUAAGGCGGUCCGUCCUUACACGCCAUCUGUUGAAAAUUUCAAAAUUGAAAUUCAAAUACACAUGCAUGCAUUCAACUUUGAAGAGGUAAAUUUGAAGAUAAAUUCCUUGCAUGCAAAUUUCAAGCACACCAAUAUUGAGCUAGCGUGAUCCAAUUGCAUGUGCUAAUUAUGUUGAUCGGUGUUGACUUAUAUUGAUCGGCUUUUAUUUAUAUUAAAUUAUAUUUAAUAUUAAAUUAUAUUAAAUAGUUUAAGAUAUUAAAUUAUUUUAUAUUUUAUAUUAAAUAUAAAUCAUGAAUUGUUUUAGAACUUUUUGAAAUUAAAAAAGUUUGAUAUUAAUAUUAAAUUAUAUUUGAUUAUUAAUAUAGAUAAUUUAAUAUUUAAGGCAAAGGAUAAAUUUGUCCAAAAACAAUUACAAUUCAUUUCCCUAUUAAAUUUUAUGUCAAACCAAAUAAUAAAAUUUAAUUUCACUAUUCUCUUCCACUCCUCUCUUCUCCUUUCCCUUCCAUUCCACUCUUUUCCUCUCCUUCCCUUUCUUAAAACCAAACACCACCUUAUAGCUAUUAUCGUCGCAAGCAUAGCGGAACCCAAUCUCAUGCUCACGAUAGCACAACGUGGCUUACGGUGGCACCACGAUGUCCCCAGACUCAUAGACAAGCUUCGCAUAUCGACAGCCCGUACAGUAUAGCGGAUGCAUGUCUAAGCCUCACGAUUCCAUAACACAGCUAGGCUUAAGGCCAACUACUGGCUAUACUGACUACUUACUAUUGUUCUAGAGCGGGGAAAGUCUUCAAGAAUGCUGCUACCGAAUGAAGUUCGUCUUUCCCCCCUUUCCCUAUAAUAAAGUGCAGGCCCCCGUAGAUAGAUAUCCCAUAUAACCCCUCCUCACGUCGACUUUUUGCCGUUGAAUCCCGAAGAAAGAAUAAAAUAGACAAAAUUCCUAACAAAAAGAUAGUGAUGGUUCCUCUUUGAGGGCCCGAAGGGCAACGUACCUAAUAGAUAAAGGAUUUUUCAAACGGGAACUCAUCUUGUACCGUAACUUAAACAAUCAUCGUAGGAAGGGCCGGAAACUUGCGUUUUCUUAUGAUAGAUUGUACCAUGAUUAUCUUCUAUUUAUAUUCUCUAGUCUAUCUUUCUUCAAGUGAGAUAGUUGAGCCCGCCCCAAGCGGAACCACAUGAGUUCACCGGGGUUGAGCACGGUCCGCCAAAAUCGGCAUAGGUUAGGUGCUAUUGAUGGAACAUGGUAAGCCUAUCUUUCUUCUCCAUAUGGAAGUGCUGUGGGAUUAAAGGAGUUGGAAGAUGAGCAGGAGUAUUCUCAAUCGACACUCUUAAAAAAGAUAAUAGGUAAUAUGAUAAAGAAUAAGAACAACAAAAGCAAGUCUUUUGAGUAUAAUCCUGGUAUCUUUCUACAAUCGUCUUUGUGGCGCAGACCGAUCAAUCCCCGAAAUAAGAUCACUUAAAGGAAAGGAAUCGAAAUAAGACAGGUCUAUAUUCCUAUAGAAAGAAAAGCCCUUUCCCUCCCUGCACGAGUGAGUUGCCAAGUGCCUCCCAGGAGGGCAGUCUACCACAAGAUCUUACUCAUGAAUGUCAAGGAAGAAAAAAAAAGACAUGUAGGUUUGUAAACUAAAGCCAGAAGCCCGGGAAGAGGUGUUCUCCAUUAGUAGAAGUAAGCGGCUGAGUUAGCAAAGCCUACCCUACUAAUUUAUUGUAUAGUAGCGCCUUUUCCUUUUUGAAUAUAACUAAGGCUAGCCCGCUGGUAGUAGAAGGAAGCAGAGAUUCAGGCAGUUAGGCAUCAGUUUGAGUUCGAGAUCGAGACCCCAUAGAUAAGGUAGGUGUUAAUAGAUCAGUUCGGUCUAUGUGGCUGUCGAGUAAUCGUAGGUAAGUAGCAGCUAUCUCCGACUGAGCAGGUGUAUGGGGAAGAAAAGACAUAACCAAAAAAAUUGUGUAAAAUAAAUGAAUUUAUCCAGUUGAGGCAUGCUUGAUUGCGCAUUCCACUGACCUUUCCAUUACCGUGGGAAAGCCUCACUCUCGAUGAAACGGAUAACAAUCUGAAUAAGCGGUCGUCGUCCAGCGGUCGGUAGCUCUACUAAGCGAAUAACCGCUCGCUGCCUUUUCUUUGCGAAUAACAUGUGCGGGUAGCCCAGGAGAAGAGAAGCAAGCUACCUUCGCCUACCUCCCCGCCGCUCAUGACAAGCGAGCAGCAGACUAGGUUUCAUUAUUAUAUAGGACUUCUUUUGUGCUACCACACCUCUCUUGACCUCUCUUGCUUCUCGAGAAAGUACAAGGGUCGCCGAAGGUGAGGGAAGAGAUAUCCAAUUUGAUAUCUUAUGAUAUAUUGAGGAUGCUGCAGCAGUUUGGUUUCACUUCUAGAUAGUGUGAGUGGAUCAGGGCUUCCAAAACUUUUCUUUUUUCGGUAUGCCGCUCCGCGAGCAAGGAGUGCCACGCACGAGCGGAGCGAAAACAAAGCCGGUCAAAGAUUCCAUUGGAAAGGUAGAUGACAUUUCUGCUGUUUCGGUAAUGCCUGAACAGGGGUAGCCCAACCUUAGUCUAACUAAGUAUUCUAUCCAUACUAUGACACUGCGCAAAAGAACCAGGUAUAGUGUGAAAUGUGAUAAUAUAAAUAGGGGCGUGCCACAUUCUUGGUUUAAGUAUACUAGAACAUAUUCCAUUUUGUUGACGGUGAAUGCCUGUCGAGCCACUAGCGGAAAAAUAAUAAAAAAAGUUUCUAAAAAUAAAAAAUACUCAAAAAUAAUUGAUAAGGGGGGUUGAGCAUCCUUUGUAGAGAACUUUGCUGGCGCUACGCUAUCACGCUACAACUAGCAGCCCUUUUUUGCUAUUUUUAUCUAUUAUUAGUUAGGGCUUUUCCUUAACUAAUAGCGAGAGAGGGAGUGAAAGAGGCUGGAAAGUAUGAAGCAAGUUCUAUGCAAUUGAGCUCGACUGAAAGGAAGAUUUCUUACUUAGGCCCAGGAGAGGAGGGCUCUUAGGGAUUGGGGGAGACGAGUGGAUUAUAGAGCUAUGAGUGGAUCGAGGGUUUGUCCAUUGGGAUUGGUUUGAUAUGGUUUACGUGUUAUUGGUUCCCGGAAGAGUUAAUAUCUCCAUUAACUAAACCCUUUCUUACCCUAGGAUAGAUUCAUGAAAUGAGCAAGCAUCUAAUAUAUUUUACACCUUUUCCUAACGCCUAUGUGACUUUCCAAAGCCGUCGCUUCGUAUUUCUUGCUUAAAGCGCCGCAACUUAUACGCUUUAAAGCUGCGCUUUAAACUUGACGGCAUUUGAGCAUCCGUUUUCUUGCUCUUUGUCCUGGAGGCUCUCCGGCCGGAGAGAGGCUUGCUAUUGUAACCUUUACAAGCCAUGAUCUAAAAGUGAUUGCCCCCCAGGCGAGAAAGACUAAUCUUCAAAUUCCGCUUGAAAACGAGUCUCGUCCUUGCUUUUCUAAUAAGUUACUAUCCCCAACAGAAUUGGAACUCUAGUUGUUCAAGUUUCGUUCACCUCAUUUUCCUUCCAAUUAGUGAAAUUCUAUCUAUUUCUUUCUUGGGGAAUUGUGGUCGGCCCCGACUAGAUUACCUGGACCUGAAGAAAGACAUGCUUUCGCAAUGAAAUCUUUCUCCAGAUAAUGCCUUGAUUACAUAAAUAAUCUACUCCGCUACACCUACCCGUGGUAUAAGUGUGUUCAAACACACCACGCCAUUUUUUUCCUUUUGAGAGGGUACUUCGAGUAGUGGGUACCUUGUAGGACCUCAACCCGCCUACUUGGGUCUUGUAUGGAUAUGCAUGAAGAUCUUUAGCUAACCCCUACCUUCUCUAAAUACCCAGGUUCUGUGAUAUCAGAUCGCAAUUCUGAUUCUUUUGCCAUCACCUUCUAUUACUUGCUUGGUCGAGCAUCAAUCAACACCUGACGAUGAGGAGAGUGAUCAAUUCACCAUGUACCUGAUUCAAUACAACUAUCUAGCCCUAUUAUCGAAGCACUUCUUUAUAUAUGUCGCCAUUUGACGAUCUAUCUUUAGUAGGUCGUCUAUUCUUUCUUACCGAGAAUCGAGCGCAAGGCUUGAAGACCUUACCGCAUUCCGGCCCCAGGGUUCUCAAUUGGUCCAUUCUCUCUUCUCUUUUACCAGUGAGUGGUGAGUUACAUAUGUACCUUUAGUAGUCUGUUAUCUCAUACGCUACCCUAACUACCAUAUGUACUUUUCCUCUGCCAUCUAAUCAACCCAUUGAUUCAGCCUUGGAAGGUGGUGCGUACCAAUGGCGUUUGUUAAGUCUUUGAUGAAGUGGUUUUCUUGCCUUACGAAGCCCUUCAAACUAUACUUACACCUCAGCAGCCGUUAAUAGCAAACCUAAGCUGGUGGAUCCUUGCGCUUUAUGAAAGUAUGCUGUACUGGCCUUCCUUCCCCUAGCUGUCAGUGAGACUUAUUUUCUUUAUUUUCAAGGCUUCUCAGACUCUUGUGGAUUCGCCUCUUUCUUCCCUCGCUUGUGACCAGCUUCUCUUGUUGUUGUUCCUAGAAAAAAGUAGAAGUCAUGUGACAAGCAGUGCUUUUUCUCAGCGUGUUCGUUCGAGUCGUGGAAGCGAAGCAAGGCUCGUUAUAGUGGAAAUAUGGAAUCUUCUAGAAAAAAGUGGAACCCACGCGCCUUUUCGCUUGAAAGAGCUUUGAUCACUACUGGUUGUAAACAAACCACUGUCUUGCCUCUGCUUUCUAUCGAGGUCCGCUCUCCCCGCUCCAUUCAUGGCUUGCUGUUCCCCAAACUCUUUCUGGCAAAACCCUCCGAAUUUUUAGAGAAAAACCACGCUAAAUUUUUUCGAGAUUUUGAAACUUAUUGCACCUAACCUUUGGGCAUAUCAAAACAAGAAAAGGCACUACCUGCAGAAGAGAAAGGGAGAGGAAAAACAGUACGCAUGUCAGUCUAUUCUACAUCAAUAUUGUUCAAGCGAAAAUCAAAAUAGGAUGUCUAUAUGAUGAAUUUCUAAAUAAAAAAGAAAUAGUGAGUGAGAAAGAAGAUGUGAGUCCAAAAGGCAACAAUCAAACGCCCCUUUAUUAGUAAGGUUGCUUGCUUGUCACAUAGGUCGUCUUUGGCUCGUCUCCUUCCAUGAUACGUACCUGGUAGUAGUAGUAGCCCGGCCGUAAAUCCAACUUCAAGAAGUAAAAGAAAAUCAAGACAGAUGCCGAGAGAAACUAUUAGACUUCUUUAUUGCGUUGCGAAGAGAGAUCUACCGUUUAUCCACCAAUUUGCCCUGCUCUUUAUGAGCUAAGUGAUUGACACUAAAAAGUGUAUAGAAGAACUACUGGAACACAAUUGAGGAGAUCUAAUAAUAAAAAAAUAAAAAAUAAAAACAAAAAAAUAAAAAAUAAAAAAAGAACAAAAGGACAAAAGAGUAAAAGGCAACCAAAACAUUGGUUGCCUGUGAUGGUCAAAAGGCCAUCACGCCUCCUGGCCAUCACACUUCUCAACAUUUAUUUACGUGAUGGUCAGGAGGCCAUCACGCCUCCUGGCCAUCACGCUUCUCAACAUUUAUUUACAUUAUAAAAAAUAAAAUAAUAAUAUAAUAAUAAAUUAAAUAAGAAUCAAAAGAAUGAAGAUGAGGCAAUUGUUGCCUAUAAAAGCCGGAGUAUUGGGAAGCUGUAGGGGGAGAGCUAUUUUGAGAGCUUAAGCCUAGAGAGAAUAGAGUGCAGCUGAAGAAUUUCUUUCUUUCUUUCUUUUUUUCUUUUCUUUUCUUGUUUCCAUUUGUAUCAAUUUUCUUUGUAAUAUAUUUCAAAAAGUUUAUCAAAUAAAAAGAGUAUUGUGUUUUCUUUCAAUAUGAGUAGCUAAUUUUAUUAAGCUGAGGUGAAGGGUGAAGCUCAAUGUUUCAAACUAUUAAUUAUUAUUAUUUUCUCAAAUGAGUUUUUAAGUUUAUUUAAUUCUUUUCUAAUUAUUUUUAUAUCAUGUUAAUUUAUAAAUCUCACUGGAUUUUAUGCUAUUUUGACAUAAUGUCGACACAUUAAUAUAGUGUGGCACAUUAGGUACUUUAUUCUAUAUUUAUCCAUACAUAUAAAAUUAAAUGAUAUAAUAAUUAAUUGGUAAAAGUGAGACCAAAUAUAAAUGAGAGAGUAUUAAAAUUAUAGUUUAAAUACAGAGAGUGGAUCCUAAACCUUAGCUUAUUUUUAAAUUGAUUUCAAAUAAUUUCUUUUCCCCACAAUUAAUUUUCUUAGUUUUACUAAAUUUAAAACUCCCUGUGGUUCGACCCCAGUCUCACCGGGUUAUAUUAUAACUAGACACUCUUAUACUUGAGAGUAAUACACUUUUGAGUCGUGUCAGUAAUGAUGGACAAUUUUGUGCUGUAUGAGACAAGUUAGAACAAAGAGCACAAACCUCAUUAGCUACACUAGGAUGAUGAUUCAUUGAUUGGUUCAGAGCUAAGGCAUCUACUUUCCUAGAAGGAGUAGAUAGAGUGGCUUUCACAUCAAAAUCAUCUUCAACUUCAUAUAGACCAUUUCUAGAAACUUGAGGCGAUUUCUCUCUUUGAUGUGAAAAAUUCGACUGUUGAGAAUUCUCAGAAAGUGAAUUAAAGAAAUCCCAUGUAGCCCUUUUAUGUAGGUUAAAAAAUCUCUCACCAUUCAUAAACUCUAUCAUAUGACGAUUCGACAUGGUUAAACCGUUAUAAAAGCAUUGUAUAAGUCUCUAUUUCUCAAAACCAUGGUGGGGACACUUGAGGAGUAAAUCAUUAAAUCUUUCCCAAUACUCAUAAAAUUGCUCACCCUCUCUUUGAUAAAUAUCACGUAUCUCUCUCCUAAGGGCAUUUGUUUUAGACAUAGGAAAAAACUUGGUGAGGAACUUGUUACUUAAUUCAUCCUGCGUAGUAAUAGACCCAGCAGGAAGUGAAUUCAACCAAGCUUUCGCUUUGUCUUUUAAUGAGAAAGGGAACAUACGAAGCCUAAUUGACUCAUCAUUAAAAUUUUGAAAACGGAAUGUAGAGCAUAUGUCAAGAAAUUUAUUAAUGUGCAAAUAUGGAUCCUCUCUCUCUAACCUAUGGAAAGAUGGUAAAAGUUUAAUGACAGAGGGCGUAAGUUCAAAGUGUGUUGCUGUAGUUUGUGGCAACACAAUACAAGAUGGUUGGUUGGAUGCAAGUGGUGAAAAAUAUUCUCUAAGGGUUUUCUUUGCUUGCACUGGUGGAAGUAUUGGCAAUAGUCUAUUAGGGUCAUCUAUCACUUCUGAAGAACUAUCUCGACUACUAUCAAUUUUUAACUCUUUUUUUACCAAACGAUUUGUUAAAUCGUGUGCCCAAAUACUCAUAAACUAACUAGAUAAGGAAAGAAAAAAUAAAAUACAAUAAAAUAAAAUAAAAUAAACCAACAACAAUGAAAAUAAACGAAAUUUAAAAAUAAAAGAAAUCAAACAACCAAACAAUGAAUUUAAAGACAAAUAAAAAUAAAAAUUAAAAAUAAUAAAAAAAUUAAAUAAAAGACAACCUAAAUUAUAACUAGUGGAAGAAUCAAAUCAACCUAAAUUAAACUGACUUUCUAGCACAAUCCCCAGCAACAGUGCCAAAAACUUGUUGUGAAAAAUUUUAAUAUACUUGCAAGCGCACGAAUCUAGAAAUACAAUAGUGGUAACGAGGUCGAACCCACAUGGAUUGUUAUAAAUUAAAAAGUCUAAUUUAAAUCUAAAAUUAAUAUUAAUUCUAAUCUAAUUGAGCAAAUCGAAUUUUUAAGAGAAAUUAAACUAAUUAAACUAUGAAAACAAUUAAAGCAAAUGAGAAAUCAAUAAGACAAAAAUUAUCAAGGUUUCAGAAUCCACCACUAUUCAACUAGUAAUUAUCUAAUUAUUAAUUAAUCCCCAAUUUUAGAGUGACAACUCGAAAUCAAUCUAUGUCAUCUUAUAAAUAUAACAAUUAAGCCCAAUUAAAAUUAAUUUUGUGUAGGUUCUUUUUCUUCUUAAUAGUUUGAUAUCUAGAGAUGGCCAAUGGGCCGGGUGGCACAUGGCACAGCACGGGCACGACACGUGUCCGUACGGUAUGGCAUGACACGAGCACGUUUCGGUGGGGCACGAGGAACAGCACGGCACGCAUGUGGGCCAUGCCGAGCCUAGAAUUUUAGGCACGCGGGCCUUAAAGCACAGCACGAUUAGAGAUGAGCCAAAACACGACACGCGAAAAAGCACGUAAUAUGCACGGUUCAUUGGUGGGCUAGCACGCGGCCUGUGGGCCAUCAAUAGCACGUGGGCCAAAAUAUAUCUAAGUAAAUUUUUUUAAUAAAAAGUAAAUAUAAAAUGUUAUGAAAUUAAAGUAAAAUAUCUUGAAAUUAAAUGUUUUAAUAUAUUUUUGGGAUAUUAUCAUUUUCCCACUAAUUUUAUUUAUGAUAUUUAUUAAAUGAAUAAUGUUAUUUAUGAUAUUUAAUUUUAUUUAUGAUAUUUAUUUAAUUAUUUAUUUAUGUUUAUAAUUUAUUAAAUGAAUAAGUAAAUAACUAAAUAUCAUGAUUUUAAUAAAUAAAAUUAUAAAUAUCAUAAAUUUAUAAAUGAUAAAUAAAAAAUAAAAAUUUUAACAACAUUAAUAAUAAAAUAUUUUUCAUAUGAAAUAUUUUUCACAUUAAUGUUAAAUCAUAACUUAGUUAAUAUUUAAUAGAGAUAUGUUUCAUUUGUGAAUGAAUUAUUUUUCAUAUUUAUACACAAGAAAAAUUUAUGAACGAAAUAUUUUUAUGAUAAAUUAAAAAUUACAUUUUCAUUAAAUGAAGUUCAAGUACAAUUAUAAUUUUAGUAAUUCAAAUAAAAUUAGGUGUAAUUUGCAUCACUACAGUUAACAGUACAUCCCAGCUAGGUUGGCACCUACUGAACCAUCUAUCAUUUGCAAAUUUACAACCUUCUCACUAAUAAAAUUUGUUUCAAAAAGUUACAAGAAAAAAAAGUCUCUAGUCUUUGGAAGUGGCUUCAAUGUUCAGUACUCUGCAUAAUCUGGAUCCACUUCAUCUUGAUCAACAUCCAAACUCUCAAUUUGUUUAAUUAAAGCAUUUUGCCAAUCUUGUUGCACUCGACGUUCAACAUCUUCCCAAUCUUUCAAACACAACAAAGAGUCUAAUGUCUCUUAUGACAAUCGUGACCGACGUUCAUCUAGAAUUCUGCCACCUGUACUAAAAGUUGAUUCUGAUGCUACAGUUGAAGCUGGAGGGGUUAGUAGAUCACGGGCCAUAAUGGAUAGUAUAGGGAAAAAAGAUGUCUUACCCAUCCAAAAUUCUAAAAUAUCAAAAUUUUGCAAUUGUGAAGGAGUUGCUAAAUCUUCAAGAUUGACAUAACAAUAUCUUUGCAAUUCAUUACGAUUAGUAUCAAUACUAGAGGCAACACCCUUACCUUUGAGUAACAAAAGGUGAGCUGGAUUUUUAUAAGAAGUCGAUGCAUGUUGAACAUUAGAAUAUGUAUUGCUUGAUCCGAAUUUAUUUCGAAAAAAAUUAAAAAGUUCAUGAAUAGAGGACAUAAUUGUAUCAAAAUUUGUAUCAAGCCCGGUUUGUAAAUUUUCACUAAUACCCUCAACUAAAUGUUUUGCACCAACUUCCUUGAUUGUAGAUCCAACACUGCUGCAAAAAUAAAUAGGUGGGGAAUAUCUUUCCAAUAUUUUUUGAAUUUUUCCUCCAUGGCAUCACAAAUAUUUUUAAACAUAUUCUCUCUAAAAGUCUUAAAAGUAUAACUCAUAAUAUACAAGUGCAUUAACACUCUACAUGCAGUAGGCUCAUAAACAGUAGAACAUGCAAGAGUAGCAUCAUAAGAUACCUUUAAAAAAUCCAUAAAUUUAAAUGCAACAUUCCAAUCAUAAUCAGUGAUAUGAUCAUCUUCAUCAUUCAUUCUCUCAUUGUAAAAAUUAGAAAUUGCUUCAGAAUAGUUUUGGCAAGAAAGCAACAUCAAAUACGUAGAAUUCCAACGAACUUUCAUGUCAAUGUUGAAUUUUCUCCUUUUAGUAGGCUCAUAAACAGUAGAACAUGCAAGAGUAGCAUCAUAAGAUACCUUUAAAAAAUCCAUAAAUUUAAAUGCAACAUUCCAAUCAUAAUCAGUGAUAUGAUAAUCUUCAUCAUUCAUUCUCUCAUUGUAAAAACUAGAAAUUGCUUCAGAAUAGUUUUGGCAAGAAAGCAACAUCAAAUACGUAGAAUUCCAACGAACUUUCAUGUCAAUGUUGAAUUUUCUCCUUUUCAAUCCAAAAAUUUUUAACGUAGACAAAAAUUGUUAACGUCUUGAAGGUGCUCUAAUAUAUAAAAUGGCUGCUCUAAUUUUUUCUAAAUAAUGAUUUAUAUGAGUCAUACCAGCUUGAACAAUUAAAUUAAUAAUAUGACACACACAUCUCACAUGAAAAAAUUUUGAACCACGUGCAGGCGUGGGAGUAGAAAUUAAUCUCAUGUAUAGAGUGUGAAGUCACACAAAAAUAACCAAGCAUAUUAAUACCAGUCCAACAAUCAGAAGAAAUUGAAAUAACACCAUUAAAAUUGAUAAAAGUAUUAAUUAAAAGUUUUUUCAUGUCAUGAAAAAAUUUAGUUAAAUCACGUUUUAAUGUAUUUCUAGGCACUUUCUUAAGUUGAGGCUGAACAUACCUUUGCAGAAAAUUUAUUAGAUGUUCAUCUUCUGAAAAUGUUAAAGGUUGUUCUGCUGCAACAAUAUACCGAGCCAAUCCUUCUCGCAUGUUCUGUUGUGAAUAUCUGAAUGAUGUUUUUCCGGAAGGUCCAGAACCAUAUUGUGAGAGUUGGGUUUGUGUUGGGUCUUGUGGCGCGUGUUUUGUCUGACAAGUUUCCAUAUGUCAUCUAAGAUGUCCAGUUCCACCAUUGCUUUUGACACCUAAAGCGGAUUGACAAUAUUUGCACACUGCUUGAUCCACCAUUUCACCUUUUUUGUUUUGACGUUUUUCCAAAGUAAAACAUGACCAAACAAUUGAUGUUCUUUGUCGUUUGGAGGUAGUAGUAGGAUCAGCAGUCGAAGAAGUAGAACCACUUUGACUUACUUGAGAAGUAGGAGGCGAUCGUUUAGGUGAGACAAUAAAUAUGUUACUUGGAUCAAAUUCUGGUGCAGCAAUUUCUUCAUUUGCAACUUCCUCCCACUCUUCAACAAAAUUAAAAUUCUCAUCUAACUCGAAAUGAGAGUGAGACAUUUUAUAUAAUUAGCGUUUUGGUAAAUAAAGGCGGCUAGAAUGUAUUUGUGCGGGUGAAAAAAAAGAAAAAAAUUAUUGAGCAAGAGAAUGGAGAUUCGUGUGUUAAAUGGUGUUGAAUGAUGUUUUUCUUUUGUUUGAGAUUUCAGUAACAAAGGGAAAUUGCUGGAAUUGUAGCAAAGUUUCGAGAAGAUUGGGCAAGCAGAGACUAGAGAUGACUGAUGAGACAAGAGAGAUAACGAGGAGAUAGAGAUUGAGAAGUGAGAUAAGUUCAAAAAUAAUUUAAUCAUUUAAAUAGAAUAAAAAAGUAAAAAUAUUAACAGUCAAAAAGGGGUAAACACGCAAAGCUUCCUGCAAAGCUGCAACUACAAAGCUUCCUGCAAAGCUGCAACUACAAAGCUUCCUACAACUCUGCAAGGCUACAGCAAAAUAAAUUGUUGCAUUUAAUAAUUCAUUUGUCCGUUGGAAUUGUAAGGUGAGUAAUUGAUUUAAUUUAAAAUUUUUUUUGUUAUUAAAAAUAAGAAAUAGUUAAUUGUUGAGGGACCUGUCUAUGGUACCGAUUUUGUAACAAACAUCUCCCGUCAUCCCACCAUCCGAUUGUCUAUUGUUUAGUUUCUCACCCCACAUCCAACCACAUCCAACGGCUGAUGCUGCAGCCUGUAGCUCACAGAUUCUGUAAGCUAGUCAAGUCCAAUUGUUGAGUGCCCAUGCUGUGAAAUUGACUAGUCACCUAGUCAUAUCAACUUUAUUGUUUUUUUUAAAGACAUAUCAACUUUAUUGUUAAUUUAAUUAAUUCAGAAUUUUUUUUGUCCGUUGGGUGAGUAAUGAAAUUAAUUUAGAAUUUUUUUGUCAUUAAAAAUCAGAAAACAUUAAUUACUAAUCGGAGCCCAACUGCCCAUGCUGUACAAUUGAGUAGUCAUAUCAAUUUUAUUGUUAAUUCAAAAAUUUUUGUCCAUUGGGUGAGUAAUAAAAUUAAUUUAGAAUUUUUUUCAUUAUUUAAUAAUUAGAAAAAAUUAAUUUCUAAGUGCACCGUUGUUAUUUAUUUUUUAAAAUAAUUUUAGUAAUUAAUUUUUUUUUCAAAACAACAUAUUAAAUUAAAACAAAUUAUGGGUCAUUGUUACAAGAGAAUUAUGCAACUAUCACAAUGUUAAUAAAUCCUAUCACAAGUGUGUUGAUGAGAUAAUAUUAUAGUAGGAAUACGGGAGGAGCUUGCAUUCAUUAUGUAGAGUAUUUUAUUUCUUUGAAUUUAAAUUCUCAACUGUUGAUGAGAUAAUAUUAUAGUAGGUAUAGUGCAACUAUCACAAUGUUAAUAAAUCCUAUCACAAGUGUGUUGAUGAGAUAAUAUUAUAGUAGGAAUACGGGAGGAGCUUGCAUUCAUUAUGUAGAGUAUUUUAUUUCUUUGAAUUUAAAUUCUCAACUCAAAUUUUCAACACGGUAGUUGUCAUAUAGUGCACAUGCAGACGUGCAGAUUGCAGUGCAGCUGUGCAGUCAAUUCAAGUUUUAGGAUUUGAAAAUUGUGAAAGUUGCAACUUGCAAGCGUGUUGUAAAAUUGAGUAGUCAUGUCAAUUUUAUUGUUGCGUGACUGUAAAAUUUUAAAAUUAUGUGCAGUGUAAUCAAUUAAAAAUUUAAAAAAUUAUGAAAGUUAACCGACAAUGAUGUUUAAAUAAUAAAAAAUUGGGUUAAUUGUGCAUUUGUUUUAAUAUUUUCAUUUAUUUUUUAAAUAAUUUAAGAUCUUUUUCCUACAUGCCAACCAAGCACUUGCCUCAUGGCUCCACAAAAAUUAAGAUCUCAAGAUUUAUUCAUUCACAAAUAUUUAUAUUUCACUAAAUAUUUUUUUACUUACUCUUUUUACUCCCACCGACAAAGUAAAUAAAAUUAAUUUUUGUCUUUUUAUUACUAUCUAAUAUUAUAUAUACACGCCAUUAUGCUAUGAUGCUUCACAAUUCUUAUUCUUCUUCUUUUUCCUCUCAAACUUUCCAAUAUUUUAAAAGCCAAAAUCAUUAUGAAUCCACAACAACAUAAUAUGAAUGCAGAAGAACCUUAACACCCUCAAGAAUACAGUGUUGAUGUAGUUGGACCUCAACAAAAUGCUAGGCUAAAUCAGUCCAGAAGUCGUUCUUUAAAUGAGCUUUUUCAAAAUUUUACUACAAUAAGGGAGGAAAUAAUAGAUAAUAGUUUGCAUCAUCCUUACAAACGGAUGAUCUUGAGGUGCAACUAUUGUCAUCGAGAAGUUAUUUAUUCAGAUAGCCAUGGCACCUUGAGUUUACGUCGGCACGUGUCAAAUUGUUUAGCUCGCCACCUUAGCCGAGAUAGAAUUAACCUUGCUCGUUUCCCGUAUACAUAGUUGUGAUUAAUAAAUGUUUUUUUCGUGCUUGUUAUUCGUCAAUUGGUCGUAGUUCGCAUUUCGUAGUUGUAACUUGUAAGUUGUGACCUAUGAUUUGUUAUAUUGAUAUUUCGUAGUUAUGACUUAUUGUAAUUAUUAUUCGAGGAUUGUAUUUUUAAUUUUAAUUAAUUAUUAUUAUUAUCUAUGGAAUUAAAUUUAAUUAAAUUUAUGUAUUGUUGUGUUAUGAUUGAUUAUUGUGAAAUAAAAUAUAUAAUUGUGAAAUUGUGAUAAACUAAUAAUAAAAUGUUAAUUGCCUCUUAAUAAAAAUUAAUAUGAUUAUGAUUAUGAAUAUUAUUAUUAUUAUUAUUAUUAUGAUGUUGGUGGGCUUAAAAAAACACGCCAAGCACGUAGGCUUUUUUAGGCACGCUAAAAAAAAAAAAAGUUAGUGGGCUUUUUUUGGGCACGGCCCAUGGCACGGUACGAGCACGGCACGAGCCCGUGCUGGGCUCAACUGAAAAAAAUGUGGGCACGGCCUUGCUGGCCCACGAGCCCUUGUGGGCCGAUAGUUGCCGGCACGGCCCAUUGAACAUAUAAAGGGAAUUAAUUAAAUGAAAAAAUAAUUAUUUCAUUGAAUAGGGUUUCAUCCUUAACCUCAAUAUAAGAAAAUUAGUUGGAUAUACUUGAAUUAGGAGCAACAAAAGAAAUAAAAUCAGCCGUGGGAAGCCGAACUGCUGCAGCCAGUUUUCUCCCGAAUGGCGUCUGCUUUUUUUUUCCUUCCUCUGGCAGCUACUUUUCGUGUUCUCUUCUUUUUUCCUGGCGGCUAACCCCUAAUUCUUUUUAUACUGUAACGCCACCACAAAAUCCUCAAAUCAAAAGGAUUUUAAAAUAAGCCAAGCACAACCAACUUUAAGCCCAUGCAUGUGAAGCCCACUUGAAAUCAAUGGUCAAUGCUUUUCCAACUAUUCACGUGAGAUGCACACUUAGAAAGCCAAUUAUUCUCCUUUAAGCAUCCUUUUUCCUCUUUUCUUUUAUUCUUCACAAGCGGCAAUUAUUUCCAUAAACUCUAAUUUGUUUCCUUUUUAAACUCCCUUUCAUCAAUGGCUUCCACAAAUUGAUUUGUCCAAUUAUUAUUUCUUGUGCACUUUUCAUCCAUAAUCUCCAAUUAAUUCCCUAAUCAAUAAAAAAAAAUUAAUUAAAAAUAAUAAAUAAAAAUAACUAGCAAUUAUGUAAUUAAGGAUAAAAUAUGCAUAUAUUAUAUGCUCAUCAUUCCAUUUGGGUGUAUUGGGAUUGUGGGUUUUGUGAGUUUUUCCCACUUUUGUAAAUUCUCAUUAUUAGUAAAAUUAUCUUUCAGUUUUUGCCCGUGGACGUAGGCAUUACGCCGAACCACGUAAAUUAUUGUGUUCUAUUUUCUUUGCAUUUAUUUGUCACAUUUAUAUUUCUCCAAAAGUUACAGUCAUCGUAAUAUUGGUAAUUGUUCAACCUCGCAAUUCCGCAACACCAUCCUUACACUAUUAACAGAGAGAGAGAGAGAGAGAGAGAGAGAGAGAGAGAGAGAGAUAGUAAAGCAUCUCAAAAUGUAGAGAGCUUAAGAUUUAACUCUUUGAUAGAGAGUGCAGAGAAACAGAGUACUUACAAGUGAGUUCUUAAAAAGUUUGGGGAGUGUUCUCUUGAGUGUUCAGUUGAGAUCUAUAUUAUUUGUAGGGAUGUGAGAGAUUGUUUCCUUCAAGAGCGUUGAGAGUACUAAAUGUAUUUAAGUAUUUGGAAAAUAAGUUUUAAUUACUCAAAUUUAUACUCUAUUAAUUGUUAAUAAAAUAACUAUUCUCUCUUUGCCUCCUUGGAUGUUGGUAUCGUUGCCAAAUCAGGUUAAAGACAAGUGUUUUUAUCUUUUGUAAAUUAUCCAGUGCCUAUUGAUUGCACAUCUGCGCAUAAGUGGCAUUGAACUGCAACAAAUGACACUUUUGCACACAACACCACAUUGGAUACGUCACCGAGCAAGUUACCAGCAACUCGCAUCUUAUGAACCUAAUUUACAUGUGAAUAUAAAUGAGCGUGGCAUUGGCAUGUUACUAAAGAUAUUGUACAUAAAUCUACUAUUCUUAAUACCAACUAAAUAUUGGCCGUGUAUCAUUGUGCACAAAACUUUUAGGCAACAGCGAAGUCAGAUAACAGCGAAGUUAGAUAUUCAAUAUAGUUGGAGUUAUGUUCAAACAACAAUAUGAUUUAAAAAUUUUUAGUAAGUACUGAAAUUCUAAAUUGACUUCACUGAAAUAAUAUAAUUCAAUAAAUUCAUAAUCGUACUAAAUUAGUUUUCAUAAUCGUACUCAAUUAGCCAUAUACUUAUGGUAGCUCGAAGUUGUACAUGCUCUAAAACAUAGCGGCUACCUAAAACAAUUGUAUAAAAUUUUCGUUAUGAAAGAGACUCUAGGGUGCUGAUUUUUAUCAUCAACAAAUCCAAAAAAAAUGGCUAAUUGCCUUUUUUGACCAAACAAUAGAGAAAAAUUUGUAAACAGUCAAAUAAUAUUCUGUCAUAUGAGAGAGUAGAGGGUUAUAUUAAAUUAAAAAAUCAAUGGGACUCACUAAUGCUCCUAUCUUUGAACUCACUAUUCUACCACAAAACACCAAUAAAUUGCCUCAAUUAAAAUUUUCUCCAAACAAUGAUAGAGCAGAGAACCCCACUAAAUUAAAAUAAUUAGUAGGACCCACUAUUGGUGCCACUUUUGAACCACUGCUUUACUACAUGGCAAAACACUAGUGGUAUGUCUUACUUAAUUUUUUCUCCACAUUUAUACACUAAUAGGAAAAAUGACCUUCACUAAUGUUAAAAAAAAAAAUGAUUUGGAUCUAGCGCAGAACUGAGCUAUUCUCACCUCUUCAUAAUUGUUUUUAUACACGUGCAUGUAUAGAAUAUAUAGUUAGGAUUUAAGUAAUUUUAUAUUGUUAUCCAAAAACUACCAAACCCCCUAAAAAAAGAAGAAAAAUUGUGAUUGAAAACAUAAAGAGAUAGAGGAAUUAUUACCUAAUAGGAUUCAUAUCUUCUCAUAUUCUGGUAUCCAAUGUUUUAAAAAUCUAUAUGUGACAAUCAUCAAAAUGUAUGGUGAGGAUUUAUUUUCUCAUUAAAUAUAUUACAAGCCUCUUAAGAGAUGAACUAAUAAAAAACUCGCACUUUAUGAUUCCAUGGCUCCUAGUGGUUUUUUUCCCUCUCCAUCAAUAACUCAUCUUCUCCUCAACGAUUAAUCACUGCACACAAAAAAAGGAAAGAAAAAAUGAAGAAGGAAAGAGCAGGCAGCCAGUGCAAGAAGAAAAAUUAAAGAAGAAGAGCCUACGUUUGAGCGUGUACUUUAACAAGUACAAGUAUCCAAAGAGUUUAUUUUAAUUAAACCUAUGAAAGAAUAAAAUUCUCCUCUAUAGCAAUUUUAUUUUCAGAUGGCAGAUCGAAGGUCCAACUUUAGGAUGAUACAAACACCCAAGAACUAAUUUUAGCUGAGAGUAGCAGAUUAAUCAUACAUGAAGAGAAUUCUUAUGAUGUUGAAUCAAAUAUUGGCCAAGUAAUUAUUCACAUUCAAGAACCUAAUCAAACUACGACUUCCUACCUUCACAACUUCGGCAUUAUUUUUCUUUUGUUUUUAGAAAUUGCAAAGACUUGAUUUUGAAAGAGAUCAUAGCUGAUCAAAAGUAUUGUGCUCUGUAGAGUGAACUAGAGAACGUAAGAUUUUUGAGGGUUAGGGAAGAAAAAUAAGAGUUUAAGAGUUGUUAAAUAAAAUUCAAAUAAACAAAUCUUAGCCAUUCAUUUUGUUAAUAUCCACGUAUGAAGUAAAUCUUCAAAAAGUCAGAAAUUUCAUAUCAUCAGAGAAUUUGAAUCAGUUGGUUAUAUCUGUGAGCAAAAAUGGAUGAUUAAAUCCCCUAAGAACAUUUCCUAGAACACUAUUUCCAAUGGCAGCAUAAGCCAUGCAGGUUAAUAAAGAAAUGUAAAAUAAUGUUGUUCCACCAAUGACAUAUAAUGUCAUUUUCUUCAUCACUUCAUUUUGUGGUGGCUUUAAGGUAUCUUUCAAUUCACCAAGGAAGUAAUAGUAGUAUAUAAGUAUCAAUUGCUUAUUUAUUAAGAUGAUAUAUUGUCAUUUAUCUCCCUAACAUAUGGCCUUAAAGAAAAAUUUGAAUGCCGAAUAUACAAUAGAGAUGAGAUUUAGGAUAUUUUGUUCACCAAUAGACUGUUAUCAUUGAAUGUUCUCUAAAUUAUGAGUGUGAUAUAAACUUUGAAGUGGAUAGGUAUCACUACCGUAGAUUAUGAUGGACGAUGCCAUGGCUGGGCUUCUAAACUCAUGCCAAGCCGUUGGCAACAACGGGGGUGUGGUUGUAAAUGAACAAGAAAGUAAGGCAAGAUUGGCACGUAGGCUGCGGCGUGACAGCUAACGUAUGCUAUGAGACAAGUGUGGGGAGCGCCAGACAUUACACGCAGCCCACGCACGCCACAUCUUACAAGUGUGCAGGCGCAAAGCAUGCACACAAGCUGAGUUGGACAGAAUGCGAGAUUGCACAAGGUAGUAACGCUAAGGCAUGUAUGGGCAGCACAUAUGCUAGUAGGUAGUGGGCAUAAAAGUGUGCAAGGAAGCACGUAAAUGGGUAAUGUACAAUAGGGGUGGGCAUUCGGAUCGGGUUAACCCGAUCCAAAUCGAACCCGAAAUUUAUUUUGGGUUCGGUUUAGUUCUGGUUAACAUAUAAAAUCCGAACGGGUUGAAAAUUAUAACCUGAUCGGGUUUUAAAUUUGGUUCGGGUUGAACCCGAACCGAAUUUAAAAACUGAUCGGGUUGGACCUUAAAAAUUAAAUCUCUCUCUCACCAUUCACGCACGCCCAAUUCCAAUUUCAAGAUCCCUAAAGUAACUGCCUAAGCCUUCAAUAAUCCCCCUCUUCUCAUCUUCUUCCACAACAGCAGCACAACCCUCCUCCUAGCGCAGCCCACAGAUGUCCAGCCGACGCCCAUGCUGCGGCUCACUCACCUCACGACUAACUCACUCUCACUCCGCCGCCCGUUCGCUUUCGAUCCAGCUGUUGUCGCUUCUAUCUUUGCCAUCGCCUCCGACUGUUUCCAAUCCAUCUUUGCAACCAGUAGGUUACUUAUUAUUAUUUUACUAUUGUUAUUAAUUUAUUAUUAUUAUAAACAAUCGCCGUAUGUUCCUGGUUCAUGCUCUCGAUUGGUUUGUCAUGAAGCAAAAUGUAUUAAAUAUUAUUGAUUGAUGCAUGUCUUUCAUAGCAUAAAGUGGCUUAGAUUGGAGCUUUUCUGAAAAAAGUGAAAAAUUCAUUUAAUUAUUUAGUAUUCACGGAUAAGAAAUAGACUUCAUCUUUUUUCUAAUGCCACACGUCUGGUGAGCUUUGCCUGUGUGUUUUAGUUGGAUAAAAAUUGUUGCAAAUGUCACAUGGGAGGAGGGAAGCAUAAAAGGUUUAACUCGAAUGAACCCAAACUAUCAAACCGAACCAAUCCGAAUUGUGAACCCGAACCGAAUCGAAAUAAUUUUGGUUUGGUUCGGUUUGGGUUAGCAUUUUCAACCCGAUUGGGUUCAAUUCUUCAACCCGAACGAGUUGUAACCCAAACCGAAACCCGAACAAUCCGAACCGAAAUCUGAUUUGCCCACCCCUAAUGUGCAACACAUUACAUAGGGGCCAAACUACGCAAAGAUGAGAGGCAAGCAUUCGAAUUACACGUACAAGCUAUGUUCAAGCAAUGGCGGUCGAAUGUUAAGCAUGGUGGUUGGAGUUCUCUGAAAAUAGGUCCUAGAAACAAGCAUGAGUGGGCAGUUAUCGGUGCAACUUACAUGACAUGGCCUUAAAAUUCAUGCCUAGAAAUGUGUAGACAAGGGACGUAGGUAAUGGUGGUUACUCAUCACUUCUUUACUUCUAGGCUAUUGAGCAGUGAUUACCUUAUGAUUGGGGGAGUGAAGAUAUACUUCUUAAAAUCAUGCUUAGUGGUGCCUAGUCUUGAAGAAAAGAAAUAAGGUGGUGCAAGGGCAACAUGCCACGUCUCCUUAACAAAUGGGGGUGUUAUUUGCAACAUGUAUAUGUAGUGCAAAUGAGUGUGUGUUUUGAGGGAUUCGGAUUUUGGUAGAAUGAGUGGCCCUUGAGCAUCCAAAUCAUAGAGUUAUCUUAUAAUAUUUUCUUAUUGUGGCAGCAAAUAUUUGGGGGUUGAUACCUCUCUAAAGAAUAAUAUUGUGUGUCCUUGUUGUUUUGUUUUCUAUUCUUUGUUGUUAGUUUGACUAGUCUCUUGUGAUAAUCUCUGUUGUGGGUUCCUUUUAUUGGCAUUAUCGAGUAGUUGGCUAAAUCGAGACUUAACGCCAUCACGCGGGUUGCUACAUCUUCAGAGAAAACUCGGUGACAAUUGGUAUCUGGGUAAAGGUUGCUUUAAUUGUUGGAACAACUGGUAUUAGGGCAAAGGUUAUUUCAGUUGUUAGAACAAUUGCUAUAAGAUCAAAGGUUGUUUCAGUUGGUGGAACAAUUUGGUACCAAAGCAGCUGUUACAAAGUAAGAUUACAUUAAUGUUGGUGACAAAUGAUUUCAAGGCUUGGUUAAAAUCAUUUCGAGAAUAGCUCACUACGUGGUUUCAAGGCAUCUAUGGUGUAAGAUCUAAUUUGUGUAAUUUCGGGGGAAAUUGAUAAUAACGCAUAGAUUGUAUGACUAGCAGUGAAACCUAACAUGAUGAGAGAAUCACGAAAGGACAAGCUGUUGUGAUUGGAUGCUAUCAUAGGUAUUUUACAGCCUUACUUGGAGAGUUCGACAUAAAACAUGACAAUCAACUUAAUAGAGAUAGAAAGUGUGAAUAAAAAACUUGCUCUGAGUUUGUAAAUGAUUUUAUAGAGAAGAGAGAUGAUGCUCGUAGGCGAACGUGCUGAAAAGAAAUAAUGCUCGUAGGCAUUGCUUCACGUUCAAACGAUGGGCCUUUAAAGGUCAAGGUUUUAGAAUCUAAGGCUUAUAGUAGAACUCAAAACACUAAGAAGUUGGAGAAUUUUUAGUAAGACGUACAACAUCAUUUUUUAGCUAUUCGAGUACCAUAGACAAAGCAUGUCACUAUCACAAGCAUAUACUUAGAGGGUGAUACUAAGUUGUGGCAACGGGGUAGGCUUUAACAGGAUACUGAAGCACACAUCGAUUGGCAAUUGAAAAAUAGGACACACUUAAAGGAGAAGUAAAGGGCCAGUUUUUAUGCAGGAAUGGUAUUUGGCUUAGAGGGAAGAGCUUGAAAAAGCUAAAGCACAUCGGCUCAGUGAGAGAUUACGUUAAAGAGUUUAUUUCAUUGAUGUUGGACAUCAAGAACAUAUAAAGUGAGGGCAAGCUCUUCAAUUUUAUAUUAGUAUACACUAAUGGGCUUAAAUGAAAUUACAGAAGUAGGUUGUAAGGUACUUACCAUCGGCAAUUCCAACUGCUGAUAGCUUGGUGCAUUUUAGACCCAUGAAUAUUUAUCCUUUCGAAUAUAAGAAAUCAAAAGAUAGCAAGAAAGGCAACACUUCGUGUGAUAGUGGGAUGGAAAAUGGCAACCACAUCAAAGCCAAGUAAAGGAACUGCAAGACAAAAAGGAUUCAGGGUACUUCAUUUGCGACUGACCACAUCAGACAAAAGAUUAUCUAAAGCCUGAGAUGCUUAAUGCUUUGGUUAAGGAAACAGAAGGGGAUUCUUUGAAACUUUCAGCUGCCAAAUUAGACGCAACGCGCAUAAAUCCAUUACGACUAUUAAACAACAUGGAUGUCGAGGUGAAGGAGGUACUCGUAAAUGAAGAGAAGCUAAAAAGUGUCUUGAUGGGUAAAUCCUAAUUAGGUAGACUGAUUUGUAUAGUAAUGAUGGUUAACAGAGUAGAAAUAAGGGCAAUAAUAGACAUGGGGUGGAAUGGUGAAACAUGUAAAGGCGAAUUUGACACCACGUCUUGGACUGCAAAUUGCUAGAGCUAACAUUGACGUGAGUUUUGCUUCUAAUAAUCAAGUAGUUCUAGAGGAUAUAGUAGUAGCCAACCUAAGUAUGGGAACUUGGGCGCUGGAUGCUAGGUUUGUGAUUAUAUGAUCGACGAUAUUUGUUGUAAUUUUAGGAAUGGAGUUCUUAUACAAUUCAGAGGUACAUUUACUAUCUCACUUAUUAUGCAUUUAGAUUAGGAGCAUGAAAGAGUCGUGCACAAUCAAAUGUGAGUUUAAAAGUUUCAGUAGGUUGGGACCACCAUCCCAAACUACCAUAACUAGUGUAAAUUGAGGGAAUUUCAUGAUCAUGUCCAUAGUUAUGGAGCACCUUCAAUUUAAGAAGGGAAUUUAUGGGUAUACCAAGGUGUUCAAGAAUGUGGAAGACUUUCGGAAAAAGUAUCGGCUGUGGUAUACCAAUGUCAUUCGAGCUAAAAUGGCGGUAAAAGGGCAUAGAAGUGUGGCGAGCAUUUUAAGGCAGCAAGCAAAAAUUUAGUAAGAGUUUCAGUGAUGGCUAUUUGGUUCUUAUUGGUGCCUAUUAGAGGUAACGGCAUUGUUCCUCAUUUAUUAGUGUGAAAUUAGGUGGAGUGAGCGUCGAAUAUUUGACGAGAAAGUUCAGUAUGGUGACCUGAAGUGGAUAAAGACAUAUGUAGCCCUAGAAUCUAUGAAAACUUUUGAUGUUCUUAGCGAAAUCGAAACAAAAGUUGAGCUUUUUUGUGCAAUUUCCAAGAAAAGCAAGCGGGAGCUUUUACGAUUGACAGAUGAAGAAACUAUUAGUCUAAAAUCAUUUAAUGCAGUCCCUUGGUGAUGUUAUAGCAUCUCUGGAAUUCAAUCAAAGGAGCACAGACACACUAUGGACAUAAAGAAGCUUAAGUCUAGAACUGAUUUACUAUGGUCAUUUUGCAUUAUUGGGAUUGUGAUCUGAAGGUGGAAGAAUCCUUGCAAAUUUGAUAAAAGAGCUAAAGUUGUGUGCAUGAUUGUUUGCGGGAAGUGUUAGUAUGUGUCAUUACUUGAGGGCAAGUAAUGGUUUAAGUUUGGGGGUGUGAUAACUCUAGGAAAUGAGAGUUAUUGCAUCAAUUCUAGACUUGAAUCAAGAUAAUUUAGAGAACAAAUAAGGUGUUUUUAUUAUAUUUUGGUUACAUUUUGCAUAAACAUUCAUUUUAGUUGAGUCUUAAUAAGUUUUGCUUGAAUCAAAGUAAUUUGUGCUAAAAACAUGUGCAUAAUUGUAGGUUUUCAGAAAGUCUUAAUUCAUGAGGGGAUGUUGAGACAUUAGAUGAGCAAGAAGAGGAAAAAAGAUGGCCAUAAAAGAAGUAAAGCACAAUCGGGAAUAAUGCAGUGUUGUUACGGAUGUUAGAGCAACCAGUGCUGUAUCAAUCUGGGAGCAAUGCGGGAGAAAACUUAGGCGUGGGUCAGCCACAUAAUUGCAAUCUACUUGUUUCCUAAUUUAACGCAUGCACGCUCAUGGGCUUUUGUUUACCCUAAUUUGCAAUAUAAAAGGGAGGCGUGCACCACAUAGGAAGGCAGCAAGGGAAUUAUCAUUAGAAUAAUUACAAAGGAAAGAAGAAGAAGAUCAAAAUUGUAGUGUGCUGUUUCGGCAACAUUGAGGAAUCGUGCAGAAUUAUUUGGAUUUUUCUUUCACCGUGCUCAACUUAUAUUUAUCUUCUUCCUUUAAUUGUUUUGAUAUAUCCCGUGAUCAAUAUAUUUUUGUUUAUUUUUCUCAUUUAGAUUAUGAACUAAAUUUACUUGUAGUUGAGUGACAAACAAUCCAAUAUGUUCUUUACUGUUCUUAUAUGUUGUUAUGACAUUGUUGUAGCAUUUUACUCUAGUAGUUUUUAUGAAUAUAAUUGUUAUUUCGGUUGACCACCCAUUUAAUAGCUUCAGUUAAGAUAGAGCAGGAAAAUGACAUGUCUUAGCGGAUAUUAUUAGAGUAUUACUUGAUCUUAAGUUGAGUUUCCUGGAUUAAGUUAUCUUGAAUCCCAUAAGGGCAAUACUUGAAGUUAAGAUUUGUGACACACUAGACAUAGGUGUUCACCUUGUAGAGUGGAGAGACUAAAGGUUAUAAUGCCAUACCAUAAGUAUAUUAGCAUUUGGUCAUUGUUAAUAGAUUUAAGGGUAUGAGACUUCCAAUAUGCAUAGCUGAGGAUGCAGAUUUAUUCUGCCCAGUGCUGAAGUACUUGCUGUAACAACUGGUGCUAACUUGAUAAACAACAGUCACCCCAUAAGGAGAGUUUGAUCAUUCAAUUACUAUAAUCUCAAUUAAAACUUAGACACAUUUAACCUAGUUUAUUUCGUUACGGUAUUGUUUUAUUUAAUUCUCUCACAAUCAUAAAUUACGAUAGAAAUUACUUCACAAUUGUUUGCUUCGGUCUUAAGUUGUUUUGCACUAUUGCGAUUGCUUUAGCAUUUCGAGUAACAUCAAUCCCUGUGGAGACGAUCUUGAAUACUCAUCACUUUAUUACUUGUGUAUACUUGCACAUUGGCAUUGGUAAUAAUUGCUUAUAAAAUUAACCAACAAGUUUUUGGCGCCGUUGCCGAGGAUUGAUUGUUUAUUUUUGAAGUGUGAAGUAAAUUUUGAUAGCGCCAAAUUUGACUUGAUUCAUUCUAUUUAUUGGCAGAUCGGUACAUGCGUGCGCAAUGACAGAUAUGUGGCAUUCCAAUUCGAUCCUGAGAUUGAAAGGACUGUCAGGAGACUGCAAAGAGAACAAAGGAAUUCAAACACUGUUUCAAGCAUGAAUAAUUUACAGGAUGCGGGAAAUUUGAAUCCUCACGGGCCCUUACAACCAAUCAACAUUCAAGAAGAGCAAAAUGAACAUGCUAACGAGAGACAGGCAGGCAAUAACAAUAUUAUCUACAUGGCUGAUGACAAAGACAUAGCUAUAAAAGAUUAUGUUGUGUUAACCCCUCAAGUUGUACACCCUGGGAUCAUCAGACCUGAAGUAGAAGUUGCAAAUUUUGAGUUGAAGCCAGUGAUGUUUCAAAUGUUACAAACAGUUGGUCAAUUCAAUGGAUUGCCAAAUGAAGAUCCUCAUCUCUAUCUUAAAUUGUUCUUGGAAGUAAGUGAUACUUUCAAGAUUACUGGAGCAACACAAGAUGCCUUAAGGCUGAGGCUUUUUUCUUAUUCCUUAAGAGAUCGAGCAAGAGCAUGGUUAAAUUUGUUACCAUCUGAUUCCAUUACUAUAUGGAAUGAAUUGGCUGAUAAAUUCCUAAUGAAAUAUUUCCCACCGAAAAAAAAUGCAAAGUUGCAGAAUGAGAUUACUUUCUUCCAUCAACUUGAAAAUGAGAGUUUGUACGAGACUUGGGAAAGAUUCAAAGAAUUGCUCAGAAGGUGUCCUCAUCAUGGUAUUCCUUGUUGCAUUCAAUUGGAAACUUUCUACAAUGGGUUGAAUCCGAGUACGAGGUUAAUGGUGGAUGCUUCAGCAAAUGGAGCCCUGUUAUCCAAAUCUUACACUGAAGCUUAUGAAAUUCUGGACAGAAUUGCCAAUAAUAAUUAUUAAUGGCCUUCAGCUAGGCAACCAGCAGCAAGAGGACCAGCAUGGGUACAUAACAUAGAUGCAAUUACAGCCUUAUCAGCGCAAGUAACCUCAUUGACUAACAUGGUAAAGGCCAUGACAUCUGCUCCAACAACAGUAAAGCAAGUUGCUAAAAUUUCUUGUGUAUACUGUGGUGAAGAACAUGACUUUGAUAAUUGUCUUGGAAAUCCAGCUUCAGUAAACUAUGUGGGUAAUUUCAAUCGACAACCUCAGAACAACCCAUAUUCAAAUACUUACAACUCUGGCUGGAAACAACACCCAAAUUUCUCAUGGAGCAGUCAGAAUCGAAAUGCUCCAGCAUUAAAUGGACAAAAUAGAAACCUACAACCACCUGGUUUUCAUCAGCAGAGUCAAGGGCAAAAGCAUAUCAGUCAGGAUCCAAUCACUUCACUGGAAGUACUGAUUAAGGAGUACAUUGCAAAGAAUGAAGCAAUUGUGCAGAGUCAAGCUGUAUCCUUGAGAAACCUGGAGAACCAAAUGGGGCAACUAGCCACAACAAUGAGCAGCAAAACUCAAGAAAGCUUACCUAGCAACACAGAAGACCCUAAAAGAGAGAGCAAAGAACACUGCAAGGUAAUUAAUUUGAGAUCUGGAAAGAAUGUUGAUACCCCAGUUGAUGUGACAAAAAAUGAGAUGAAAUUCAAUUCAGCACAAAAACCACCUCAAAAUGGAAGCAUGUUACAACAAGCCCCCCACCAAGACACUGGUUACAUGAGCCAAGCUACAGCAACUGCAGAGGAAAUUCAACCAGAACAAGUUGAAAAAGAGGUUGCAACACCAGUAGCCACAGCCUACACCAAACCAAACAAACAGAGUUUGAUACCUCCUGAAGCUACCCAGCAGUUUAGACAUCCACCACCUUUCCCACAAAGGUUCCAGAAGCAAAACCAAGACAAACAGUUCAGUAAAUUCCUGGAAGUGCUGAAGCAAUUACACAUAAAUAUACCUUUUGUGGAAGCUUUGGAUCAAAUGUCAAAUUAUGUGAAAUUUCUAAAAGACAUCUUGGCACGAAAAAGAAGGCUGGGAGAGUUUGAAACUGUUGCUUUAACACAGGAAAGCAGUCAUCUGCUCCAAAGUAAGAUUCCUACAAAAGUGAAAGAUCUAGGGAGUUUUACAAUACCCUGCUCUAUAGGAACUAGGUAUGCUGGCAGAGCACUUUGUGACCUGGGAGCUAGUAUUAAUUUGAUGCCAUUGUUUGUAUUUAAGCAGCUGAGAGUAUGGGAAUGCAGACCAACAACAGUCUCUUUGCAACUAGCUGACAGAUCUCAUGCAUACACUGAAGGAAAAAUAGAGGAUGUACUGGUGAAGGUUGACAAAUUCAUCUUUCCAGUGGAAUUCAUUGUACUGGACUUUGAAGCUAAUAAAUAGGUAUCCAUUAUACUUGGAAGACAUUUUCUAACAACUGGAAAGACUCUGAUAGAUGUGUAGAAAUGAGAGCUCACCAUGAGAGUAAAUGAUCAGCAAGUCACAUUUAAUGUACUAGAGGCUAUGAGGAACCCUGAUGAAGUAGAAGAUUGCAAUUUCCUAAGUGUAGUGGAUUUUGUUGUAGCAGAAAAAAUGGACAGAUGCUGCAGUAAUGCACUCGAAAAAGUCACUACCUUUGAGGAUGUAGAAGAGGAAGAUGUUGCAGCAAUUCAGACAAAUUGGAUAGAUGAAAGCAAUUUGAUAGGCACAACAGGUUUAUUGAACACCUGAAUCUUUCAGACAGGGAAGUAAAAACAACUUUACCAUCUAUUGAAUCACCUCCUAAUCUUGAAUUAAAACUGUUACCUUCACAUUUGAAGUAUGCUUAUCUUAGUCAAAACAACAUACUCGUUAUAAUCAUUUUUUCUACUUUGGAUGCAGGUUAAAAACAUAGUUUAGUAGAUUUGCUUGGAAAAUAUAGAAGAGCAAUUGGAUGGACCAUGACAGAUAUAAAUGGGAUAAGCCCAUCAAUAUGCAUGCACAAAAUCCUGUUAGAAGAUUGCUCCAACAAUUCGGUGGAGCACCAGAGAAGGUUGAACCCUAUUAUGAAAGAAGUGGUGAAGAAGGAAAUCAUCAAAUGGUUGGAUGCUGGAAUCAUAUACCCAAUAUCAGACAGUUCAUGGGUGAGUCUAGUUCAAUGUGUUCCAAAGAAGGGAGGGAUAACAGUAAUAGCUAAUGAGAAGGAUGAACUUAUUCCUACAAGGACAGUGACUGGAUGGAGAGUAUGUAUGGAUUACAGGAAGCUCAACAAAGCCACAAGGAAAUACCAUUUCCCACUUCUAUUUAUACAUCAGAUGCUGGACAAACUUGCUGGAAAACAGUACUAUUGUUUCUUAGAUGGGUAUUCAGGCUACAACCAGAUUGCUAUAGCUCUAGAAGAUCAGGAGAAGACUACAUUUACUUGUCCUUAUGGAACAUUUGCCUUCAGAAGAAUGCCCUUUGGGUUAUGCAAUGCUCCAGUAACCUUUCAGAGAUGCAUGAUGUCUAUAUUUUCUGAUAUGGUAGAGCAGACUUUAGAAGUUUUUAUGGAUGACUUCUCAGUUUUUGGAGAAAUAUACAAUGAUUGUUUACACAACUUGGAAGAAGUCCUUAAAAGAUGUGAGAUGACCAACUUAGUACUCAAUUGGGAAAAAUGCCAUUUCAUGGUGCAAGGAGGAAUAAUGUUGGGUCACAAGGUAUCCAAGGAUGGCAUAGAGGUAGACAAAGCCAAGAUAGAGGUAAUAGAUAAACUGCCACCUCCAACUUCAGUAAAGGGUAUUAGGAGUUUUUUGGGUCAUGCUGGAUUCUACAGAAGAUUUAUUAAGGAUUUUUCCAAAGUAGCUAAACCACUAUGCUCAUUGCUGGAACAUGACGAACCUUUUCACUUUGACAAAGAUUGCCUUCAAGCAUUUGGAGAAUUAAAUAAAGCUCUGAUCACUGCUCCAGUAGUUAUAUCUCCAGACUGGACUUUACCAUUUGAACUUAUGUGUGAUGCUAGUGAUCAUUCUGUGGGAGCAGUAUUAGGGCAAAUAAAGGAUAAGGUUUUUCAUUCCAUAUACUAUGCAAGCAAAACUUUUACUCAAACUCAGAUCAAUUACACCACUACAGAGAAAGAGUUGCUAGCAGUAGUAUUUACUUUUGACAAAUUCAGAGCUUACUUGGUGGGUACUAAAGUGACUGUUUACACAGACCAUGCAGCCAUCAAAUACUUAAUUUCAAAGAAGGAUGCCAAACCAAGAUUAAUCAGAUGGAUCUUAUUGCUUCAAGAAUUUGAUCUGGAAAUUAAAGAUAGAAAGGAGACUGAGAAUCAAGUGGCAGACCACUUAUCACGGCUGGAAGCAGACACUAGUACCUUGACAAGGAGGGGCAUCACUAAAACAUUUCCUGAUGAACAGCUGUUGGCAAUACAGCAAGCAUAGAUGCUGCAGCAGUCAGGACCCCCAUGGUAUGCAGAUUUUGCUAACUACAUAGUAAGUGGGAUGCUACCAACUGAGCUGAAGUUUCAGGAGAAAAAGAAAUUUCUUCAUGAUGUCUUGGGAAAGAUUCAAAGAAUUGCUCAGAAGGUGUCCUCAUCAUGGUAUUCCUUGUUGCAUUCAAUUGGAAACUUUCUACAAUGGGUUGAAUCCGAGUACGAGGUUAAUGGUGGAUGCUUCAGCAAAUGGAGCCCUGUUAUCCAAAUCUUACACUGAAGCUUAUGAAAUUCUGGACAGAAUUGCCAAUAAUAAUUAUUAAUGGCCUUCAGCUAGGCAACCAGCAGCAAGAGGACCAGCAUGGGUACAUAACAUAGAUGCAAUUACAGCCUUAUCAGCGCAAGUAACCUCAUUGACUAACAUGGUAAAGGCCAUGACAUCUGCUCCAACAACAGUAAAGCAAGUUGCUAAAAUUUCUUGUGUAUACUGUGGUGAAGAACAUGACUUUGAUAAUUGUCUUGGAAAUCCAGCUUCAGUAAACUAUGUGGGUAAUUUCAAUCGACAACCUCAGAACAACCCAUAUUCAAAUACUUACAACUCUGGCUGGAAACAACACCCAAAUUUCUCAUGGAGCAGUCAGAAUCGAAAUGCUCCAGCAUUAAAUGGACAAAAUAGAAACCUACAACCACCUGGUUUUCAUCAGCAGAGUCAAGGGCAAAAGCAUAUCAGUCAGGAUCCAAUCACUUCACUGGAAGUACUGAUUAAGGAGUACAUUGCAAAGAAUGAAGCAAUUGUGCAGAGUCAAGCUGUAUCCUUGAGAAACCUGGAGAACCAAAUGGGGCAACUAGCCACAACAAUGAGCAGCAAAACUCAAGAAAGCUUACCUAGCAACACAGAAGACCCUAAAAGAGAGAGCAAAGAACACUGCAAGGUAAUUAAUUUGAGAUCUGGAAAGAAUGUUGAUACCCCAGUUGAUGUGACAAAAAAUGAGAUGAAAUUCAAUUCAGCACAAAAACCACCUCAAAAUGGAAGCAUGUUACAACAAGCCCCCCACCAAGACACUGGUUACAUGAGCCAAGCUACAGCAACUGCAGAGGAAAUUCAACCAGAACAAGUUGAAAAAGAGGUUGCAACACCAGUAGCCACAGCCUACACCAAACCAAACAAACAGAGUUUGAUACCUCCUGAAGCUACCCAGCAGUUUAGACAUCCACCACCUUUCCCACAAAGGUUCCAGAAGCAAAACCAAGACAAACAGUUCAGUAAAUUCCUGGAAGUGCUGAAGCAAUUACACAUAAAUAUACCUUUUGUGGAAGCUUUGGAUCAAAUGUCAAAUUAUGUGAAAUUUCUAAAAGACAUCUUGGCACGAAAAAGAAGGCUGGGAGAGUUUGAAACUGUUGCUUUAACACAGGAAAGCAGUCAUCUGCUCCAAAGUAAGAUUCCUACAAAAGUGAAAGAUCUAGGGAGUUUUACAAUACCCUGCUCUAUAGGAACUAGGUAUGCUGGCAGAGCACUUUGUGACCUGGGAGCUAGUAUUAAUUUGAUGCCAUUGUUUGUAUUUAAGCAGCUGAGAGUAUGGGAAUGCAGACCAACAACAGUCUCUUUGCAACUAGCUGACAGAUCUCAUGCAUACACUGAAGGAAAAAUAGAGGAUGUACUGGUGAAGGUUGACAAAUUCAUCUUUCCAGUGGAAUUCAUUGUACUGGACUUUGAAGCUAAUAAAUAGGUAUCCAUUAUACUUGGAAGACAUUUUCUAACAACUGGAAAGACUCUGAUAGAUGUGUAGAAAUGAGAGCUCACCAUGAGAGUAAAUGAUCAGCAAGUCACAUUUAAUGUACUAGAGGCUAUGAGGAACCCUGAUGAAGUAGAAGAUUGCAAUUUCCUAAGUGUAGUGGAUUUUGUUGUAGCAGAAAAAAUGGACAGAUGCUGCAGUAAUGCACUCGAAAAAGUCACUACCUUUGAGGAUGUAGAAGAGGAAGAUGUUGCAGCAAUUCAGACAAAUUGGAUAGAUGAAAGCAAUUUGAUAGGCACAACAGGUUUAUUGAACACCUGAAUCUUUCAGACAGGGAAGUAAAAACAACUUUACCAUCUAUUGAAUCACCUCCUAAUCUUGAAUUAAAACUGUUACCUUCACAUUUGAAGUAUGCUUAUCUUAGUCAAAACAACAUACUCGUUAUAAUCAUUUUUUCUACUUUGGAUGCAGGUUAAAAACAUAGUUUAGUAGAUUUGCUUGGAAAAUAUAGAAGAGCAAUUGGAUGGACCAUGACAGAUAUAAAUGGGAUAAGCCCAUCAAUAUGCAUGCACAAAAUCCUGUUAGAAGAUUGCUCCAACAAUUCGGUGGAGCACCAGAGAAGGUUGAACCCUAUUAUGAAAGAAGUGGUGAAGAAGGAAAUCAUCAAAUGGUUGGAUGCUGGAAUCAUAUACCCAAUAUCAGACAGUUCAUGGGUGAGUCUAGUUCAAUGUGUUCCAAAGAAGGGAGGGAUAACAGUAAUAGCUAAUGAGAAGGAUGAACUUAUUCCUACAAGGACAGUGACUGGAUGGAGAGUAUGUAUGGAUUACAGGAAGCUCAACAAAGCCACAAGGAAAUACCAUUUCCCACUUCUAUUUAUACAUCAGAUGCUGGACAAACUUGCUGGAAAACAGUACUAUUGUUUCUUAGAUGGGUAUUCAGGCUACAACCAGAUUGCUAUAGCUCUAGAAGAUCAGGAGAAGACUACAUUUACUUGUCCUUAUGGAACAUUUGCCUUCAGAAGAAUGCCCUUUGGGUUAUGCAAUGCUCCAGUAACCUUUCAGAGAUGCAUGAUGUCUAUAUUUUCUGAUAUGGUAGAGCAGACUUUAGAAGUUUUUAUGGAUGACUUCUCAGUUUUUGGAGAAAUAUACAAUGAUUGUUUACACAACUUGGAAGAAGUCCUUAAAAGAUGUGAGAUGACCAACUUAGUACUCAAUCGGGAAAAGUGUCAUUUCAUGGUGCAAGAAGGAAUAGUGUUGGGUCACAAGGUAUCCAAGAAUGGCAUUGAGGUAGACAAAGCCAAGAUAGAGGUAAUAAAUAAACUGCCACCUCCAACUUCAGUAAAGGGUAUUAGGAGUUUUUUGGGUCAUGCUGGAUUCUACAGAAGAUUUAUUAAGGAUUUUUCCAAAGUAGCUAAACCACUAUGCUCAUUGCUGGAACAUGACGAACCUUUUCACUUUGACAAAGAUUGCCUUCAAGCAUUUGGAGAAUUAAAUAAAGCUCUGAUCACUGCUCCAGUAGUUAUAUCUCCAGACUGGACUUUACCAUUUGAACUUAUGUGUGAUGCUAGUGAUCAUUCUGUGGGAGCAGUAUUAGGGCAAAUAAAGGAUAAGGUUUUUCAUUCCAUAUACUAUGCAAGCAAAACUUUUACUCAAACUCAGAUCAAUUACACCACUACAGAGAAAGAGUUGCUAGCAGUAGUAUUUACUUUUGACAAAUUCAGAGCUUACUUGGUGGGUACUAAAGUGACUGUUUACACAGACCAUGCAGCCAUCAAAUACUUAAUUUCAAAGAAGGAUGCCAAACCAAGAUUAAUCAGAUGGAUCUUAUUGCUUCAAGAAUUUGAUCUGGAAAUUAAAGAUAGAAAGGAGACUGAGAAUCAAGUGGCAGACCACUUAUCACGGCUGGAAGCAGACACUAGUACCUUGACAAGGAGGGGCAUCACUAAAACAUUUCCUGAUGAACAGCUGUUGGCAAUACAGCAAGCAUAGAUGCUGCAGCAGUCAGGACCCCCAUGGUAUGCAGAUUUUGCUAACUACAUAGUAAGUGGGAUGCUACCAACUGAGCUGAAGUUUCAGGAGAAAAAGAAAUUUCUUCAUGAUGUUAGAAGUUAUCAGUGGGAUAAUCCACAUUUAUAUAAGUUAUGCUCAGAUCAAGUAAUACGAAGAUGUGCUUCCGAAGGAGAAAUACACCACAUACUAGAGUCAUGUCAUGCUGCAGCAUAUGGAGGACAUUUUGGUGGUCAUAGAAUAACUGCUAAAGUUCUGCAAUCAGGUUACUACUGGCCUACUAUUUUUAAAGAUGCUUAUCAAUUUGUUAAAUGUUGUGACAGGUGCCAAAUGAUAGGGAACAUAACUAAAAGACAUGAAAUGCCAUUGACUAACAUUCUAGAAGUGGAAUUUUUUGAUGUCUGGGGAAUAGAUUUUAUGGGACCUUUCCCACCAUCCUUUGGGAACUUAUAUAUCCUUGUUGUUGUGGAUUAUGUCUCCAAGUGGGUAGAAGUUGCAGCAUUACCUACCAAUGAUGCUAAAAUAGUGGUGGCUUUUCUACAGAAAAAUAUUUUUUCCAGGUUUGGCACUCCUAGAGCAAUUAUUAGUGAUGAGGGUACACAUUUUUGCAACAAAGUCUUUGCUGUAGCUAUGAUGAAAUAUGGAGUCAGACACAAGGUAGCAGCAGCAUAUCACCCACAAUCUAAUGGUCAGGCUGAAGUGUCCAGCAGAGAAAUUAAAAAGAUCUUAGAAAAAGUGGUGAACCUAAUGAGGAAGGAUUGGUCUUUACACUUACAUGACUCUCUAUGGGCCUAUAGAACAGCAUACAAAACUCCACUCGGCAUGUCUCCUUAUCGAAUUGUUUAUGGAAAGGCUUGUCAUUUGCCACUAGAGCUAGAGCAUAAAGCACACUGGGCACUGAAGAAAUUAAAUUGGGACAUUCAUGCUGCAGCAGAGCAAAGGAAGCUUCAACUUUGUGAGCUUGAUGAAUUACAACUAUUUUCAUAUAAAAAUGCAAGAAUCUAUAAAGAGAGGACAAAACACUAGCACGACAAACAUAUUCAACACAGGCAAUUCAACCCUGGUCAAUUAGUGGUGCUACACAAUACAAGACUAAGAUUAUUUCCGGAAAAGCUCAAGUCACGAUGGUCCGGCCCGUUUAAGCUGUUAAAAUUUUAUCCUCAUGGAGCUGUUGAUCUUCUAGAUGAACAAACAGGUCAUGAAUUCAAAGUUAAUGGACACAGGGUUAAACAUUACAUACAUCUAGCGGCCGAUUGUUCAAAUGAGGUGUUACUCCUUAAAGAACCCAGCUAUUGAACAAUGAACGAAGGUCAGGCUGAAGGACCUUAAAUCAAGCGCUCCAUGGGAGGCAACCCAUUGUGGAGACAACCAUUUCAAACCAGCUUUGAUCUCCUUUGAAUGCAGAGGUGAGCCACGUGUCAGAGGCUUUAGUGUAGAGCAUGUAACCGUUGAUAGAGUAAGCGAAUGGGUGCUGCAGCAACCAAUUUUACCGUUACAGUAAAUUAAAACAUAGAGUCUCUCACUUGCCAUUGGAGAUAAAUCAUGACAGAUGGAGGGACAUUAGCCUCAAUUUGUUACUGCUACAACAAUGGGGAGGUAUAAGAAAACAGCCAGCCGCCUCAAAGAUCCUUCACGCUUCCAGAGUUACCACGCCGAAGAAAAAUACGAGGAAUUCAUAGAGCCGCGUAAGAUUCUAGAAGAAAAAGGGUUUCAAUUUCCAGAACAACUCAUUGGAAUUGUGCAAACAAUUCACAAUGCUGCAGCAAAGCAAGGAUGGUUAGAGUUUUGCAACCACCCUCGAAAUCCUGUGCUACCAGUAGUCAAAAAAUUUUACGCCAAUUUGGUAAGCCCUGAUCAGCACAACAUUUGGGUAAGAAACACACUUGUUCCAUUAGACUCCCGCGUUAUAAAUGCUUUUUAUAAUUUACCUGCUGAAAUUAAUUGUGACUAUGCCAAGUUGCUUGAUAAAUUGACCUCGAAAAAGUGGAACACCAUUUUCACAACUCUUACAAUCGAAGGAGCAUCAUGGGCUAACGAGGACAGGCAUAUAGUUAAUAGGAUAGAUUUGAAACCUAUUGCUAAGGUGUGGGUGAAAUUUCUGAAAUCUAGGCUUAUGCCCACCAAUCACACUACUACGGUUUCACAAAAGAGGUUGGUCUUGUUAUAUGUCAUUGUUCGAGGGCUUCCCAUAGAUGUGGGUAGCAUCAUCACAAAAUAAAUCCGGGAUUGUGCAAUUAAGUCUCACCGAACUGCUGUCUUGCUAUUUCCUUUACUCAUCACCAGCAUUUGUGUAGUUUUCGGUGUUCGUCUUGACGCACGAGAUGACCAUGUCAAGAACAAUGGUGCCUUUACGGCACGCACCAUUGAGAGAGUUGCUGGUGAGAGUGCUGGAACAACCACUGAACCAGCUGUUGUAACAGGCACAAGAUUAGCUAUUGGCUUAGAACAGACUAUCCAGGCCCUCAGCACCAGUAUAACUCAAUGUGCGGAAGCUCAGCAGAGGGAAAACGAUCGGUUUUGGAGUUAUUUACAGCACAUGGACAACCAACUACACCAAUUUGCUCUGUACAUGAAAUGCACUCACAGGAACUUCCCUGAUUCAUUGCUCUAGCAGUAUAAUUUUGACAGUAACACCACAGGUGCUCCAGCAGAAGCCAGCGAAGAAGCCACUGCCACAGAUGAGCCAGUAGAAGAAACUGCAGUUAAACCACAAGCAGAGGUAGAAUCAGAAGAUGCUGAACCAUCUGACUCACCUGAGGAAGAAGGUGACAAGUCUGAGACUGAUAGCUCACCCACAGAGGCAGACGACAACUCGGAGAAAGAACGUGAGGAACCUUCCAUCCUAACUCAGUCCAAAACCAGGAAAAAGCGCAUUAUUCAAGAAGAGGAAGAGGGAGACCUUGAAGAGGAACCGUCUAUUCCGGUCCUUGCGAGAAAGGGAAAGGGCAAGGGUAAAGCAAAAAUGGUAACACCUUCAGCUUCUGACGAUGAAAUAGAGCAAGUUGAUUCCUAGCUGGCUGCUGCAGCAACCAGAGUUAUGCCUACACCUGCAGAAGCCAAGCAACUACUUGCUAUCAUUGCUGCCAUCACAACUGAGGGCCAGGCAGCUGAUGCAUCAACUCCAAUUCUUCCACAACAAACUCCUAACCAACAAAAGUAAAGGCAGUACGUCUAAAGGCACUGCUACAAUAACCCCAGCCACAACUCCUCUCACCAGCCCCAUGAAGAAAAAGACAAAGACAUUGCCAGCUACUUCCCCACAAGCUUCACCAAAGGAUAAGCUGCGCAGUGCAACCAAGAAGCGCUGAUAGCAUCCCGUCAUGUGCUGCAGUCCCCACCAUAGGGGAGUAUUCUUUCCUUGCUAGUUCAUUUCAUUAAAAAAAAUGUUUUUUUUCCUUUUGUUUGUCAAUUUGUGUGGUAUUUUCUAAGGUCUUCCAUAUCCUUGUCAGUUUGUGUGCCCUUGUUAUGUAUGCUUGUGAGGACACAGCAGCUCUCAAGUUUGGGGGGGUCGUGUUUCCGAAUGCAUGUGUUUAUGUUUGUGUUGUGUGAAGCUAUGUUAUCUAAUAUUUGUGUAUGGAUUUGAAAACCUAAUGAAGAUAAAUUGAGUGUUAUUCAGUAUUUAUGAGAAUGCCAAGUAAAGAUAGUUAUAGAUGGAAAUGAAAUUUUGUCCCGACACUUAGACUUUGGUUGAAUUGUAUGAGACUGAUAAAGCAGAGCCAAAAGAAUAGAAAAGAGCUUAAGUUUGGGGGGAGAAGCAAGUUUGAUUGACUGUGAUAUCUAUUAAAUAAACUAUGUUCCAAUGGCUCAAGUUGCUGAGUAACCAGAUCUGAGUAUGUACCCCAUAAGCAGAAUUGUGUUCAAAGGUAGUGAGAGUUAGAAGCAAUGUUGUAGCAAAUAAAUAAAUAAAAAAAAAAAGAAAAAGAAAAAGAAGUCAUCUGUCCAAGGCAUUGAGUAGCCAGGUAUGUUCAUGAGCCAUAUGUUCAGCCUUGAGUAAAAGAUAUCUGUAGAUAAGAUUAUACUGUAAAUAUUGAUGCAGCAACUCUGAUCUGGGCAUGCUUUGAGUAAUUGGGUGUCCUCAUUACAAGUGAUUGACAUUCACAUGAAAGAUAAAUGUUAUAGUGAGGAGGUUGAUUACUCCCUAGUUUAUCAAUAUUAAAAUCAUCAUAGUUUGAGUAUGUGAAACUUGUGCUACCCCAUUUAUGAAUGAAGUGUUAUCACUAUUGAAAUUCAUGUAGUCCCUUGGUGAUGUUAUAGCAUCUCUGGAAUUCAAUCAAAGGAGCACACACACACUAUGGACAUAAAGAAGCUUAAGUUUAGAACUGAUUUACUAUGGUCAUUUUGCAUGAUUGGGAUUGUGAUCUGAAGAUGGAAGAAUCCUUGCAAAUUUGAUAAAAGAGCUAAAGUUCUGUGCAUGAUUGUUUGCGGGAAGUGUUAGUAUGUGUCAUUACUUGAGGGCAAGUAAUUGUUUAAGUUUAGGGGUGUGAUAACUCUAGGAAAUGAGAGUUAUUACAUCAAUUUUAGACUUGAAUCAAGAUCAUUUAGAGAACAAAUAAGGUGUUUUUAUUACAUUUUGGUUACAUUUUGCAUAAACAUUCAUUUUAGUUGAGUUUUAAUAAGUUUUGCUUGAAUCAAAAUAAUUUGUGCUAAAAACAGGUGCAUAAUUGUAGGUUUUCAGAAAGUCUUAAUUCAUGAGGGGAUGUUGCAACAUUAGAUGAGUAAGAGGGGGAAAGAAGAUGGCCACAAAAAAAGUAAAGCACAAUCGGGAAUAAUGCAGUGUUGUUGCGGAUGUUAGAGCAACCAGUGUUGUAGCAAUCUGGGAGCAAUGUGGGAGAAAACUUAGGUGUGGGUUAGCCACAGAAUCGCAAUCUGCUUGUUUCCUAAUUUAACGCAUGCACGCUCAUGGGCUUUUGUUUACCCUAAUUUGCAAUAUAAAAGGGAGGCGUGCACAACAUAGGAAGGCGGCAAAGAAAUUAUCAUUAGAAUAAUUACAAAGGAAAGAAGAAGAAGAUCAUAAUUGUAGUGUGCUGUUUCGGCAACAUUGAAGAAUCGUGCAGAAUUAUUUGGAUUUGUCUUUCACCGUGCUCAACUUAUAUUUAUCUUCUUCCUUUAAUUAUUUUGAUGUAUCCCGUGAUCAAUAUAUUUUUGUUUAUUUUUCUCAUUCAGAUUAUGAACUAAAUUUACUUGUAGUUGAGUGACAAACAAUCCAAUGUGUUCUUGACUGUUCUUAUAUGUUGUUAUGGCAUUGCUGUAGCAUUUUACUUUAGUAGUUUUUAUGAAUAUAACUGUUAUUUAGGUUGACCACCCAUUUAAUAGCUUCAGUUAAGAUACAACAGCAAAAUGACAUGUCUUAGUGGAUAUUAUUAGAGUAUUACUUUUUGAUCUUAAGUUGAGUUUCAUGUAUUAAGUUAUCUUGAAUCCCAUAAGGGCAAUACUUGAAGUUAAGAUUUGUGACACACUAGACAUAGGUGUUCACCUUGUAGGGUAGAGAGACUAAAGGUUAUAAUGUCAUACCAUAAGUAUAUUAGUAACUGGUCAUUGUUUUAUAGAUUUAAGGGUAUGAGACUUCCAAUAUGCGAUAGCUGAGGAUGCAGAUUUAUUCUGCCCAGUGCUGCAGUACUUGCUGUAACAACUGGUGCUAACUUGAUAAACAACAGUCACCCCAUAAGGAGAGUUUGAUCAUUCAACUAUUAUAAUCUCAAUUGAAACUUAAACACAUUUAACCUAGUUUAUUUCGUUACGGUAUUGUUUUAUUUAAUUCUCUCACAAUCAUUAAUUACAAUAGAAAUUACUUCACAAUUGUUUGCUUCGGUCUUAAGUUAUUUUGCACUAUUGAAAUUGUUUUAGCAUUUCAUGUAGCAUCAAUCCCUGUGGAGACGAUCUUGAAUACUCAUCACUUUAUUACUUGUUGUGUAUACUUGCACAUUGGCAUUUGUAGUAAUUGCUUAUAAAAUUAACCAACACAAGACUUAGCUUGUGGCCUUGUGCCAAGCCGCUGGCAGCAUUAUGGGCAUACUUGUAGGCAUGAAUGAAAGUAACACUAGACUAGACUGUGAACUAGAGCGCGACAUCAAGCACAUGCUCCAAGACAAGUGCGGGGAGUGCGAGGCAAUGCUCGCAAGGAUGUGUGCUACCAUCUAUAUAAAUGUAGGGGCAUGGGAUGUAUAGAGCACACCUAUAGGCUAAGCUGGGUAGAAUACAGGAUGGCGCAAUGCAGUUGUGCUCAGGCUAAAUAGGCAACGCGUACGUUGGUUGGCAGCAGGUGCAAAAGCGUCCAAGGCAUUACGUAAAUGAGCAACGUGCCACAUAUAGAUAUAUACAUGGGAGUCAAACUAUAUAAAUAUGAGAGACAUUUGGUUUAUACAUGUGGCCUAUAUUUGGGCAAUAGCAGUCGAACACUGAGCAUGUUGGCUAGAAAAUUUCCAAGAAUGAGUCUUAGAAACAAAAAUGAGUGAGAUUUUUUGUGCAACGAACAAAAGACAUGGCCUUCAAACUCAUGCCUAAAAACAUGUAGACAAGAGAAGUAGACAGUGGCGAUUACUCAUUAUUUCCUUGCUUCUAGUGUAGUGGGCAGCGGUUGCCUAAUCCUUAAAGGAAUAGAGAUGUGAUUCCUAGAAUCAUGCUUAAUAGUGCCUAGUCUGGGGGGGAGGAAAUGAGGUGGCAUAAGGACAACAAGCCACCUCACCUUGACAAAAAGUGGUGUCAUAUGUAACAUGUAUAUAUAGUGUGAGUGCGUGUGUGUUUUAGGAGAUCUAAAUUUUAGUAAAAUGAGUGGUCCCUAAGCACACAAAACUUAGAGCUAUUUCGUAAUUUUUCUUAUUAUGGGAAUUGAAAAGUUACGGAUCAGUGCCUCCAUAAAAAGCAAUAUUGUGUGUUCUUGUUAUUUUUAUUCUUUUUUUUAUUGUUAGUUUGGUUUAUCUCUUGUGAUAACCUCUAUUACGGGCCUUUUGGGUUGCUUUCAUUAACGUUGUUGAGUGAUUGGCUAAGUGGGGGCUUAGCACCAUCACACAAGUUGUAAUGUCUUCAAACAAAACCAAGUGACAACUAGUAUCAGAGGAAAUGUUGCUUCAGUUGUUAGAACAAUUAGUGUUAGAGUAAAGAUUGCAUUAGUUGUUUGGACAACUAAUAUCAGAGCAUAGGUUGUUCCAGUUGGUAGAACAAUUUGGUAUCAAAACAACAAUUACAAAGCAAGGUUGCAUCAAUGUUGGUGACAAAUGAUUUCAAGGCUCGAUUAAAAUCAGUUCAAGGAUAAUUGAUUGUGUGAUUUUAGGGAAGCUACGAUGCAUGAGCUAGAUUGUGUAAUUUAUAGGGAAAUUAACAAUGGUACAUGAAUUGUGUGACUAGCGACUAAAACCAGCAUGGCAGGAGAAUCAAUAAAGGAUGAGUUAGAUGAUUGGACGCUAUUGUGGGUACUUUGUAGCCUUACUUGUAGAGUUUGGCAAAGAACACAAAAAUCAACUCAAUGAAGAUGGCAAGUAUGCAAAAAACUUGCAAGGAGUUUGGAAAUGAUUUCAUGAAGACGCUGAACAAGGUGAUGAAAAAUGUUGUUCAUAAGCGAAGGUGCUGAAAAUCAAUAUUAUAGAACUUGAAGAGAAAGUUGGGUUACUGAAACGCGCAGUAGGCAAUGCUUCAGAUUCUAAAGAUGGGCCUUUGAAGGUCAAGGUUUCAGAACCUAAGGCUUAUAGUAGAACUCAAAACGCUAGGGAAUUGGAGAAUUUUCUAUGAGAUGUGGAUUAGUGCUUUCUAGCUGCUCGAGUAUCAGAGAUGGAGCAUGUCACUAUCACGAGCAUGCACUUAGAAGGUGAUGCUAAGUUGUGGUAGUGGAGUAGGCUUCAAGAGGAUGUCGAAGCACAUAGUGAUCGGUAAUCGAAACAUGGGACACAUUAAUGCAAGAAUCGAAGGGUCAAUUCUAAUGGGAAAUCCUGGCUGGAUGAAGAUAGAAAUCUUCAAAGAGCUGAAGCAUGCCAAAGAUUUUAUUUAAUUGAUGUUGGACAUCAAGAGCAUGUCAGAUGAGGACAAACUCUUCAAUUUUAUAUUGAGACUGCAACCAUGGCCUCAAUCCAAAUUGUGGAAGCAAGUUGUGAGGGACUUGUCGAUGGCAAUUAUAGCUAUUGAUGGUUUAGUGGAUUUUAGAUUCAUGAACACUUCUCCUUAUGAAUUUAAGAAAUCAAAAGAUUGCAAGAAAGAAAAUUCUUAGCAUGAUGGUGGGAACAAGAAUGGCAGCCAAAACAAAGUCAAGCCACGAAAUCUACAAGAAUAGAAGAGCUUGGGGUACCUCAUUUGCAAUGGACCACGUCAGGAAAGGAUUGUCCAAAGCAUGAGAAACUGAAUGAUUUCGUGAACAAAACAAAAGGAGAGUGUACAAAACCUUCAGUUGCUGAAGUAUGUGCAACACAAAAGAAUCUGUUACAAUUGUUGAACAACAUGGAUAUCCACUAAAGUAUUAUUGUUUCUUAGAAUAUGUUCAAAUUUUGCUUUAUAUCCUCUACCUAUUAUUACAAUUUGUUCUUACUGUAAAUGUGUCACUUUGUAUAUACAAAUGAAAUGAGUUUAAAGAAUUUAUUAUUCACAGAUUCUCUAAUUUUGUACCUGACUUUCUACUUUCUAUUUCUGUAAAUUUUCUACUAGUAUACGUUGUUAUUUCUUCUUUCUCUUUUGACCUAUCUUCAUUGGGCUUUUGUAUUAGUAUUCUUGUCCAUCCUAAACUACUUGCAUUAGUUUAUAUAAUUUUAUAAUUAUUGUUUAUAGGCAAUGCUAAUAGCUUGAGAUUCCUAACUAUUCCUUUAAGUUUUUGUAUUAAUUUUUUAUCUUCUCUGGUAAAACAUUUCUAUCCAUUUUUACUUAACUUAUUAUAUAAAGGUUUUAUUAAUGUAUUAAGAUUUGGUAUAAAUUUCCUACUACAAUUUAAUAAUCCUAAGAAUUUUUGUAGUUCUGUAAUAUCUUCUAUUUUAUUAGGAAAUUCUAAUAUUUUACUAACUAUAUGUGGUUGUAAUUCUAUAGUUCCUCUAUCUAUUGUUAGUCCAAUUUUUUUUGUUUUAAUAAUUCAAUUUUCUUUUUAGAAAUUACUAUAUUAUUAUUCUUAAAACAAUCUAAAUUUUUAUGUAGGUGAGUUAUGUGCAAGAACUUGUUAUGACUAAAAACAAGAAUAUCAUUCAUAUAAACUAUACAAAAUUUUGUAAAGGGUUUCAGUAUUUUAUCUAUUCUACCUUAAAAAACUUGUGGUGCAUUUUUUAAUCCAAACAACAUUACUAACAGUUCAAAGUGUCCUUUAGAACAACUAAAAGUUGUCCAUUGAACAUAUUCUUCAUGGAGUCAUAUUUGCCAAAAACCACUUUUACAAUCAAAUUUAGAAAAAUAUCUAGUAUUUUGUAUACAAUUUACUAGCUCAUCUUUAUUAGGUACUUUAUAACUAUUGUCUAAAGUAUUGUCGUUUAAUCUUUUAUAAUUAAUUACCAUUCUAUUCUUACCUCUUUUUUGUUCACUAUGAUUAUUUACAAUAAAUAUUGAACUUCUAUGUCUACUUGUAUUAUUUCUUAUUACUAUUAUUUCUAAUAAUUCAUUUAUAUGCCUUUUAAAUUCAUUUUGUAUCUUUAAGCUAUAAGCUAAAUUAUGUGUUUUUAUUGUUAUAUUUGGAUUAAUAAUUUAGAAUUUACAUACUUCUUUAUUAUCUUUUCUAAUUGUGUUGUUGCCUAUUAUUUUUAAUUUUUCUUACUCUUCUACUUUUUUUUAUUAUGUCUACAACCCAUUUUUCACAUUUUAAACAUUUUACUUCUUUUUCUAUACUGACUUUGCUAUAUUUUUAUUCUUCUAAUAAAAAAUCGAAGAAUUCUAUAUCUACUUCUUUUCCUAGCAUUAAAGUCUUCUUUUUCAUAUGACAAAAUGUGUGUUUCAUAUUUGGGUUGAAUAAAUUUUGAUUUUUUAAAGAAAUUAACUCCAUUUUGAGUUAUUUAUAUAUUACAAUUAUUUCCUAAUAUAAAGUUUAAUCCUAAAAUAAAUUUAUAUCAUACUUUCUGAUUAGAAAUAAAUGUUUGUGGUAAAAUGUGUGUUUCUCCAUUUAUUCUAAUAGGUAUAUUAGCUAUACAUUCUAUUAUUUGCAUUAAUUUAAACUGUCUAAUAUUUACUGAAUUUCUUAACUUAUUUCUAUUUUCUUUAGGUACUAAACUAUCAUGUAUAAUACAUUAAUUUCUAAAUCUAAUUCUAUUAUUGUUAGAAAUUAGUGUCCUAGAAACUUAUACAUCAUUCUUUGGUAUAAAUUCUACAAAUUGUAAUAACAAAUUUGAAUUAGGAUAUAGAGAUAUAAACACAAAUAAAUUCUUUUGUAAUAGUUGCAAAGAUAAAUACCAAGAUAAAAAAGCAAUAGAAAUAAAUAGAGUAGGAAGUGAAUUAAUAAAUAUAGAUGUAGAAUUAUUAUUUAAAAAAGAAACAAUUUACACUAAAGCAAUGAUAGACACGGGAGCAAAUAAAUGUAUUAUACAUGAUAGUUUAGUACCUAAAGAAAAUAGAAAUAAGUUAAGAAAUCCAAUGAAUAUUAGACAGUUUAAUGGUGAAUUAAUGCAAAUAACAGAAUGUAUAAAUAAUGUACCUAUUAGAAUAAAUGGAGAAACACACAUUUUACCACAAACAUUUAUUUCUAAUCAGAAAGUAUGAUAUAAAUUUAUUUUAGGAUUAAACUUUAUAUUAGGAAAUAAUUGUAAUAUAUAAAUAACUCAAAAUGGAGUUAAUUUCUUUAAAAAAUCAAAAUUUAUUCAACCCAAAUAUGAAACACACAUUUUGUCAUAUGAAAAAGAAGACUUUAAUGCUAGGAAAAGAAGUAGAUAUAGAAUUCUUUGAUUUUUUAUUAGAAGAAUAAAAAGAUAGCAAAGUAGAAAGUACUAAAGAGCUAGCAGACGAUAGUAAGUUAGAAUUAGAAAGUGACAUAUGCACAUGAAUAAUAAGUUAGAAAGUACUAAAGUAGAAAUUUUAUACGAUGAAGAGAUAGACAACGAUUUAGAAGAUGUUAUGAGUAUAGAAAAAGAAGUAGAAUGUUUAGAAUGUGAAAAAUGGCUUGCAGACAUUAGAAAAAAAGUAGAAGAGUUAGAAAAAUUAGAAAUAAUAGGCAAGAGUCUAAUUAGAAAUAUAAAAAGAACUAUAUAAAUUAGAGAUUAUUAAUCCAAAUAUAACAAUAAAAACACAGGAUUUAGCUUAUAACUUAGACAAUAGAAAUGAAUUUAAAAUGCGCAUAAAUGAAUUAUUAGAAUUAAAAGUAAUGAGAAAUAGUACAAGUAGACAUAGAAGUACAACAUUUAUUGUAAAUAAUUAUAACAAAAAAGAGGUAAGAGUAGAAUGGUAAUUAAUUAUAAAAGAUUAAACUAUUAUACUUUAGACAAUAGUUAUAAGAUACAUAAUAAAGAUGAGCUAGUAAACUGUAUACAAACGCUAAAUAUUCACAAGGACAUUUUGAAUGGUUAGUAAUGUCUUUUGGAUUAAAAAAUGCAACUCAAAUUUUUCAAGCAAGAACGGAUAAAAUAUUAAAACAUUUUUCAUAAUUUUGUAUAGUUUAUAUAGAUGAUUUUUUUUUUUAGUCAUAAUAAGUUCAUGCACGUAACUCACUCACAAAAAAUUUUAUAUUGUUUUAAGAAUAAUAAUAUAGUAAUUUCUAAAAAGAAAAUUGAAUUAUUAAAACAAAAAAUAGAUUUUUUAGGACUAGCAAUUGACAAAGGAACUAUGGAAUUACAUCCACAUAUAUUUAGUAAAAUGUUAGAAUUUUCUGAUAAAAUAGAAGAUACCGAAGAACUAUAAAAAUUCUUAGGAUUAUUAAAUUAUAGUUAGAAAUUUAUAUCAAACCUUAGUACACUAACAAGACCUUUAUAUAAUAAGUUAAGUAAAAAUGGAGAGAAAUAUUUUAACAGUGAAGAUAUAAAAUUAGUACAAACUCUUAAAGGAAUAGUUAGGAAUCUUAAGCCAUUAGCAUUAUCUAUAGACAGUUAUUAUAAAAUUAUACAAUCUGAUGCAAUUAGUUUAGAAUGGAUAGGAAUACUAAUACAAAAGCCCAAUAAAGAUAGCUCAAAAGAGAAAGAAGAAAUAACAAUGUAUGGUAGUGAAAAUUUUAUAGAAAUAGAAAGUAGAAAGUCAAGUACAUAAUUAAAAAUUCUAAGAAUAAUAAAUUUUUUAAUCUCAUUACAUUUGUAUAUACAAAAUGAUAUAUUUACAAUAAGAACAGAUUAUAAUAAUAUUAUAAAAUUUUAUAAAAAAGUACAAAAGAAUAAUUUUUGAGAAGAAAAAUUCUUUUAUUAGUAAAAGAUGGAAUUAUUUCUUAGAAGAAAUAACAGGUAGAGAAUAUAAAGCAAAAUUUGAACAUAUAGUAGGAAAAUAUAAUAUUUUAGAUGAUAUUCUUUCAAGACUAAUUAUUCAAUAAUUAUUUUAUAGGAAUGGAGUGAUAUAUGAAUUUCGGUCCAAUAGCACUUAGAGAGUUCCCUUCAUGAACAAAUUUAAGGUUUAGAAGUAAAUAUCAAUUAUUGGACAAUCAACAAUCCAUCUUAGAUAAUUCGUAGAAUUGUAAUAACCUAAAAGAUAAAUUUAAAGUAGCCAAUGCACUCUUGCAUUACUUUAGACAGAUUAAUAAGCAUGUAGAAACUAAUCGUUUUGCAUUUUUUGUAUUAGUCAGAGGUAGACAACUAGGCAUUUAUAGACAGUCGAGAGAGAUAGUUGAUCUAACAAUCAAUUAUCCUUAUCCAUACUAAGGAGGUUUUUAUAUAUUUCAUGAAGAAAUAGAAUUUGCUAGACAAAAGAUAGGACCAAAUACAAUGUUAGAUAUUUAAUUAACCUUUUAACAGUGCAUCAACAUCAUCAAACAUAUAAUUAAAUAAUUCUUUAGACAAUGCAUCAUCAUUAUCAUCAUCAUCUAUACAGUUUUGCAACCAUUGUGAAAUUAUGACAUACACAAUUAGAAAACUUAAUGAUACUAGACAUCAUCUAGACAGUGUAAAUGAAAAAUGUAAACAAAAAAUGAUUGCAUUAGAAAGUGAAGAUAAAGAGUUAAUUGGACAGAAUAUUAAAUUACCAAAUAAAUAUCAUAUUCUACUAUUAGAUCACCAAAAAACCCAAAAAUAAAAACAACUACUGAAACAAUUAUUUAAUCAUAUCCGAGCAGGAUAAAUUAAUAAAAAUCCACCAUAUUUCUUCCUUCCUUGGUGGCAACAUAGACAUUAUAAAAGAAAAAAUAGUAGAAAAUCUAUACCAAGACUUUGUUUCUUUAGCCAAUCAAUUAUUUUAUAGUCAGUUAAAUUUCUUAAUCUAAUUUGUACUUAGAUGGUCAGAAUUAAGGAAUAUUACCCCUCUUGGACAUGAUUUGUCUAUAAUUUCCUUUGAUUAUUCUUUAGCCAAAACCCUAGACAAUGAAGAUUUAUUAUUAAAGGUUAUCAGUUUUGGAAUGAUAUGCACUAUUUAUAUUUUCGGCUUAGAAAAAUUUAAAUUAUUUCCAUCAAUGUUAAAUAGAGCCGUAUCUAUUAUAAAACCUCACUUUUGAUAAUAAAUUUCCAUUUUUUACCACCAAGACCCCAAGUGAUUAAUAAAAUGAAAAUAGGUGUUAUAAUACUAGCAUAUCAUUUCAUUUUUAUAAGCGAAGGAGUCAAAAAGUUUAGAAGAAGAAUUUAUCAUGAUAAGCCCAACUUCUCUACAAAAGAUUUAUAUAGAAGAACACAUGACAUGUCAGUCUUUUAUGAAUGGGUGGACACUCAUGAUAAGAUCAUAGCCCAAGGAGAACAUUAUACUAUUAUAGCCAAAGAGCAUCUUGUUCGUGAGGAACAACUUAUUCCUUCGCUGCAAGUAAAAGUUGGCUAUCCAAAAAAAAUGUGAAGUAUACUUGGAGGCACUAAUCGGGAUUAAUGACAUGCCAUCAUCAAGAGAAGGAUCUGAAGCUAUGAGUCAUCAAUCUUUGAAUGAAAGCAUAGCUGAAGCUGUUGAUGAAAUGAUUGAUAGAUAAGCGACCCCACCAAAAAUAUUAGCUAGCAUUGGCCAGUUAGCAGUAGUUAAAAAGUCAAGUAAUCAGUCUUUAUCAUUGUCACGUUUUAUAGAUGCCCUUACUUUACUCAUUACCCGACAAGGAAAAAACUACGAAGGCAUCUUUGUUGCUUUGUCAUUUUAUUACCGACAGUGAAUUAGGUUAAAAAAAAAUAGUAGCCAGUCGCUGUUUGUCGACAGUGAGUCAUUACAAAAUUAUAGUAGCCAGUCAAUCCUUUUAUUGUUUACUUUUAGACAAUCUUUUGGCAAUUUGCCAAGAGUAAAGUAUACUAUCAAAAUCUUAUCUCUUGUACAUCGAGUCAAUAAUUGUAUCAAGUCUUCAAGUUGUAUAUCUAGACCUCUCAAGUUUAAAAAGAAGAUAGGUGAAGUCAUAGAAAAAAGGCAAUUCUGCACACACAAUCAAAAAAGCAAUAAACGUUUCUUUAUAAACACUUAGUAAUCUUUUAUACAUCAAUUAGCAAGCUCUUAUUAAGUAAGUAAAUUUUAUUUCUUUAAUUUUGCCUAUUUAUCUUUCGGGAUCAGAAGUCUUGCCUAAUUAAUGAACAUAUGAAUUAUAUUUAAAGCAUUAACAAAAGGUGGUCCUUGUUAUUAUUCAAUGGAAAAGAGUUUGGAAGAAAAGCUUUUGAAAAAUGGGUUUUGUUUUUGACAAAAAUAAUAAGUGCUUAGUAAAAGUUUCUGCUGAUUUUCUAAAAGCAUAUUUUUUAACACGGUCUCCAUUGGCCCGUUUAGCCAUUAAUGUGUUGAGAAGGCAUUUGUGGUCGUGAGUCGAGAGUUUGAAAGUGUUUUUAACCAGCAUGUUUUUAGAAUUAGUUUAAUAAACUUUGAAAAGGGAUCAAAAAGGCAACUACGUAGCUUGUGAUAUCGGUAGUACAGACUGAUAUAAUUCCCAAUUGAGUUAACUAUUAGAAUAUAUGUCGUUGAUUUCCUAUCUAUAUACUGUAAAUUCCCAAAAGUUUUAUGAAAGCUAAUAUUGUACAAAAUAAAUUUUGAAGUUUCAGUUGAGGCAGCGGCUCAAAAUAAAAUUGUUUUGCUUGAAUAUGCAUUUUGUAAAAUACAAAUGUUCACACUUUAGAAUUUGACAAUAUAACCUCAGCGGAUUCAAAAUGAUUGUUUAUUAGUGAGAGGGUUAAAUUGCAUAAGAACAAGAUACAAAAACUAAAGUUUUAUGGGUUUGUGAGUUUAUGGAGGCUAUUUUAAUAAAUUUAGUAGGGGCUAAAUUAAAAUAUUAGUAAAUUAAACCACCCACAUGAGUUAUUGUGGAAUUUUAUUUUUUUAAUUAAAGAGUGGGCUUUUAUAAUUUUUUAUGUCAAAGUUUAAAUUUUAUGGGCUUGUGAGUUUACAAGGGCUAUUUUUAUAAAUUUUAUAUAGUUGUUUUAAUAUAUUAACGGGACUAAUUAGAAACUCAAAUAAUAUCUUGAUUUUUAAAAUUUAUUUUCUCCAAUUGGAACUCAAACCCACUGGUCAUGAUUUGGAUCCGCUCCUAAACAAAACGUACUCUUUAACAUGUUUUGCAAUUAGUCGAAACUAAAUAUUUAUAAUUUUAGUAGCAAAAUAGAAUUUUUUUAUGAUUGGCCUCUAUAACUUUAACAACUUAAAUAAUUUUACGGACAAUAAUUAUUUACUUUUUAUGGACUUUAACCUCUAGAUAUUUAUCUCUAUUAUUUUUACACCUCUAAAUUUUAAAUUCUGGCUUCGCACGACAAUUCGAAGCAAUAUCUAAUGUGAGUUACUAUAAAUUAUGAAGAUGUGAGAAUUUUAUGAAAUGUAAAAUCAACAUAUAGAGACAGACUAUGCGUGUGACAAGUUAUACAUAAAAGUUUGUAAUUAGACAGUGCCAUUAGGUCUAAAUUGCAUUUUAUAAUAUGUGGAAUUCAAUCUUGGAGAAUAAAAUACCUUUUGUUGCACCACUUCCAUAAACAAUUCUUCGUCCUGUGAUUCGGAUUGACGAAGCAAGACAUUCACAAAGUAAGAACCAUAGAGAUUUGCUGAGACAAAGGUUAUAGGGAAUUUUAGCUGCCUCUACAGUUCUACUGCCCUACUUACCAUUCGUUUUUUCCUCCAAGUAAGCUUCAAAAGGAGGCAGCGGCCUUAUCCUGUCUCUUCACAUCCGAACUCAGAUGGAAGAAACCUCCAGCAGCCAAAACAUAGUAUGUUUAAGAUCUGUUCUAUAUAAACAAAUUUGAAGUAAUUCAGCACUGAAUUGUAAAAACACACUAAAAUGUUACAAAGACUCAAAAAUACUAAAUUAGAGUUUGUGAUUUUAGGCAUUUUGCUAAUUUACUAGCCCUCGUAUAUACUUUUACGUCAUUUUUAGAUAACUACAAUUGCCUAGCUUAAAUCUACAUUUACAAAGUGUGGACAUCCACACUUAAAAGUUCCUAAUGUUUUUCAUUUAGUAAACAAACUAUAUUUAAAUUUCCGAAAAAAAAAAAAAAAGAAGCGAUCUAUUUUAUUUUUCAGAAAGAAAGAGCUCAAUCAAGUACCUUGAUGUUGCCAGCAACUUUGAUGGCAUCAUCAAUUUUCAGUUGAUCACGAAACUGAGGAUAAGCUACAGUAGAUAUCACCACAGCUACUUCCUUAAAUAUAGAUACAAUUUUUCUCGUGCUCGUCUAGCUCUCCCUAUUUUAAUUUUUAAUUUCAACAGUAUUAUUGUUAAUACUUAAGCUUACAAAUAAUAUUGAAGAUUCUAAUUAGAUCAGCACAAAAUUAAUCUCAUAAAAAGAAGUAUAAGAGAUCAUUCCACGCGCACUAAAAAAAGAGAGAGAGAGAGAUCAAGAAAACAAAAGGAGAUCGAGAUGAUUGAGUGAUGAAGUUACCUCAAUAAUUGCGACACCAAUAUCCUGAAAUUCCUUACGGAUUUCAAGCUUGGAGGGACUUGAAUUUUUUUUUUUUUAACCGGUCGAGCAUAAGCUUUGUGACCAGAAAAUACACUUGCUUUCACCAUAUAUUUGCCGAAGUAUCCAGUACCCCCAAAGCUUUUGCGUUCUCACCUUCCAUUUCUUCCUUUUACUUCGAUUUGUCUUUAAUAUUCCCGUCUCUUGUUGCGUACAUUUAUAUAUAUGAUAGCACGAAAGAGCUCAUUGCAUUUUUGUCAUGAUAAUAAAAGAAAAAAAUUGGCAUUUUUGUUCUUUUUUUACUAGAAACGCAAUGGGUUGAACAUUUAUAAUUAGUAAAAGAAUAUGUGUGACUUCACAGUUUAUGGUGUUUUUCAUUGCAAUCAUGUUGAUGUUCAUAAUGUUAAAAUUAAUGGAGCUAUUUCAGCAUGUUGAAAAUCCGAAAAUUGCAUCCAUCAUGUAGUACUUGUGCCAUGUCAUUGAGUUUUGUUCUCUUAUCUUUUUUAUUUUAAUAUAUUACUUGUUUGACAUACUGCCUGUGGAGAUAUUUCUUAGGUGAAAUCAUAAUUUAGUUUUUUUAUAAAUAAUUUAAAUAUGUGAUAUAUAGUAUUUUUAGGCAUCGUUUGAGAUUAAUGUUGAAAUUCAGUAAAUUGCUUAUUUCAUAAUGGUGACAAAAAUAUUAUUUAAUAAAUUUUCUAAAAACUACUUAUUUCACAAUUUCUCCAUCUUGAAAGUAGCUUUUAAAAGUAGGUACGGGUUAUCUUUUAUAAACAGUUUAUUAUAUAAGCUACCACACCUUUUUAAAUUUCCUAUUAUAACCUUAAAAUUUAAAAUAAUAACUAUAUCUUAUUUUUUCAUACACCCUGGUAUAUAAGCCAUAAUAUCAUAUUAUCAUCACAAUCAAAUUAUAAAACUAUUGUGCAUUCUCUUCAGUAUCAAAAUUUUGAUCCAACAAGUUCAUUGGAUUUUAUUUAAUUGAGUUUUUUUUUUCUUUAUGUAAUUUUAUAUUUUUUAAAAAGAAAAAGAUAUGUCUAAAUAUUAUUAAACAUACUCCAAAAAAAUAAAAGGUAAUUUAAACUUAUAUCUAUUUUGGUCAUUAUAUAAUAAAACAACACGUUUGUAAUCAAAUUUACCGAACGCAUGUACAUUGCUUUUUAAACUCAAACUCACAACAAAUGCAACAAUAAAAUUUAUCAAAUACUAAAUUACUUUUUUAAUCAACAACUUAUUAUAUCUAGACAACAAGAGUAUCUUAUUUAAUCAACGACCACAAUACCAAACUAGUUCUUAGUCUAAUGAUAACUCAGUCUCUUCUCCAUUCAUGUGAGCAGACAUCAAACGUUAAAACUCUUAUUUUCAAUUCAAGAGGUUUUACUAUUUCAAUUAGAUGAUACCAUCUCAAAUUUAUGACAAUAUUAUCUUAACAGCAAGUAGAUCUUAUAAAUGAUCUUAACAGCAAGUAGUUCCUAUAAAUGAAAAAUGAAUAGCGUCUUUUCUUCUAUGCAUCCACAAAGUAGCAAGGCAAUGAGUCAUUUUUAUGCAUAUUCAGAUUCUUGCACGCAUAAUACAAUGGUCUCACAUGAAUAAUACAAUGGUUUAUUCACAAAUGAUGAUAGGUCCCUUGUCUGCUUUUUAGAUAUAGUUUUCUUUCAUUUUUAUUCAUAAAUAGGUAUCAAAAUCUUCAUUUGAUCUGGAAAAAAUAUAAGGAUAUAUUUUUAUUUAAAAGAUGGUCACAUAAUCUUUUUUGUAGGAUAAUUAUAUUCUUUAACUUUCAUGAUCUAAUUGUAUUUUAUCCAGACUUCAUCAAAAAAAUUAUAUAUAACUAUUUUUGAAAACAAGAAGAUCUUUAUAACAUAUUUGGAUUCAAUGUUGCUAACCUUCUAGAAAAAACAAUUGAUAGUUAUUGCAUAAUAAUAUAAAAUUAAUUAAAUCUUAACCAUAUAUAAUUAUAUAUAUAUACACAUGUGACAAAAGAUUAUGAAGAAUUGAAUACAAUUUAGCUCAGUAGUGGAUUUCAAUCCCUUCGUAACUGUUUCGCCAAACCACAAGAAUGUUGCAACUAUUUUUCUUUUUUUCUUUUUCUUAUAUUUUCCAUUUAGUAACAACUAAGUAACUGUACAUUCUAAUGAACACACCCGAAGGAUGUAAAUUUGAGAAAUUAGCGAAAAUAGCUAUAAAAGUUUAGGAUUUUUUAAUUUGACCCCUCAAAAUUUUUCCUAUCAUAACUAGCCAAAUGCUUGUUUUUUUUAACCAAAUAGUUCUCAUUACUUUUAAUAACUUUACCAACAGAUGGGUCCCUAUGAAAAAUCCAGAAAAAUCAGAACCUCAACACUCUCAAUUCUCCCAACAAAUCAUUAAACCCCAUUACUCUCAACAAAUAACCAAACCAGAUCAAACAAGUAUUACGUAACUGAAAAUAUAAUCAUCAAUUGCAGAGCUUCUUAGGAUUAAUGUAUGUUCUUACACAAAAGAAACUUUUAAUGUAUUAAGUUUAGGAUUUAGUUCGAAAUUGAUGUGCAUUUUGUUGUAAAUAUUGUUAUCUUCCAUCAUAAAACAAUGUGAUUUCUUAAUGUACUUAAUUUGAGUUGAGAAAUAAAACAAAAUCAUUGAAAAACAGGCCUAGAUUAUGUGCGACAGGAAAGUUCACGUGCAAGAAGUAGUGAGACAAGUGUCUAUUGUACAUAAACACAGCUGAGCAAAUGUUGGUGCGACAGGCACCUAUCGGACCAAAAGAUAGUUUCAAUGUGAUUGUCUUUUGGUGCUACAGGUGUUUGUUGCUCUAAUAUAUUUUGAUUUGUCUCAUCACCAGUUUCGAAAUAAUAUAUUAUAUAUUCAAAACGGACACAUAUAGUUUAAGUUAUAGCCUCUGAAAGAUAUCAAACACAUUUUACAUGACUAUCGCACAUACUGUGAUUAUAUAUGUUAGCCAGCUGUCUCACUGCCUGUUGCACAUGAACUUUCCUAGCCCACAUAAUCUAGGCUUGUUUUACCUCAAAUUUUUCUUGUUUUCAAUGAUUUUUUUUCCUCAACUCAAACUAAAGUACCUUAAGAAAUCACUUUGUUUUAUGAUGUAAAAUAAUAACAUUUACAAUAAAACUCACAUCAAUUUUGAACCUAAAUCUUAAACCUAAUACAUUAAAAGUUUAUAUUGUGUAAGAACAUACAUUAAGAACAUUCAUUAACCUUAAAAAGCUCUCCAAUUGAUGAUUAUAUCUUCAGUUAUGUAAUAUUUAUUUGAUGUGAUUUGGUGAUUUGUUGAUUUGUUGAGAGAGAUGAGGUUUGAUAAUUUGGUAGAAGUGUUGAGAGUGUUGAGGUACUGAUUUUUUCUGAAUUUUUUUGUAGGAGUGCCAUUUGUUUAUAAAUUUGUUGAAAGUGAUGAGGACUAUUUGGUUCAAAAAACUAGUAUUUGACUAGUUAUGAUAAGAAAAAAUUUGAGGGGUUAAAUAUAAAAAAUUCCAAAAUUUAUAUCUAUUUUGAUAAAUUUCCCUAAAAUUUAAGCUUUGGGCUUAACAAAGCCCAAGCCAGAGACCAGCAUGUUCUUCAAUUCAUGAUAUUAUGAACCAAUACUUACUAUGUAUAAUAUUAUUCUUAGAAUUUUUUUUAUUUCAUUCUUUUAUGUUUUAAAACCACCAGAUUUCUUCUCAUGUUAUAAUGAUAAACAACCUAAUAAACUCUAUAGAGAGCAACUUGCUCUCUAUUUAAUAGUUAAAUAUGAUAGUUAAAAAAUGAAUGAUUUCAAUACUACUUUUGAAGUAAAAAAAAUAUUGACAAAGCCCAAAAUAUUGUUAACAUUUAGGGUGUUCUAGUAAAUUUUAAAAAAGGAUAAGGAAACAAUUAAUUUUUUUUUGAAAUAAAUGGGGUUUGUGAUUGAUAUUGUUUGAAAUCAUAUUUUUGUAUUUGUUUUAUAAUGUAAAAAUAAUUAUUUUUGCGAAUUUAAAAAUGUAUUUCAUAGCUUGUCUCUAAAAUAGUAUUUGAAAAUGAAAACUUAAAAUCAUUUUUAGUUGUUUGUCUGAAAAUAUGAAGAUAAUAGAACUUAAAAAAAUUGUGUUAUAAUGCCAGAAUUUAAGGGAGUGUAUUAAAAUAUUAAAAAUAAAUUAAUAUGUUCUAAAAAAUAAAAAUAUUAAACAAAAUAACAUAGUAUUAUAUUUUUAGUAAAGUAAUUUGUCUACAAGUGCAAUUUAUCAAUGCGAAUGUAUUGGAUGAAAAUUUUUCGAUUGGAAACUAGAAAACUUAAGAGGGUGUAUUUGCUAUCAUUUUCUCUUAAGCAUUUUCACUAUACGAGUACAAAAAUUAAUUAAAUUUAUUUGGUUCACUAUUUUCUAAGAAAAUGUGAGGAAUAAAUCAUUUGUGUGUUAUUUUUUAUAAAAGACAUUGAAAAACAUUAAGUUAGUGUUCUCUAUAUUUUUUUGUCACUAAAGUCAUGCAUAUAGGGACCACAAACUAUCUUUGUUUUAUUUAUUUGACAAGUGACUAAUGUAAGGACCAAAUUUACUUUUCUUUUAGUUUAUGUCUAAAGUUAAUCACUUAUGUUAAUGAUUUAUGUCUUAACAAUAUGAGAAUUUUAAGAAAUACAAAAAUCUUUCAACUGUUAUGAAUUUAUUAAAAUAAACGUGAAUUUUCAUAACAUACAUCUCUCAGUCUCUUCAUUAUCUUCCAGUAGCAACCCUUGUCUUAUUUAUAAAUUCUACUAUCUUACAAAGAAUUAUAAUCCAUAGUGUUUCUCUCAUCUCUUUAUUUUGUACACACUUAAAAUAAAUAAAAUCAAUCUAUAAUAUAUUGCUCUUUUAUUUUACUCUUUAUCUUGUGUUGUUUCUUUAUUUUUCUAUUGCCGGCUAAAAACUUUUCUAAUACAAUAUGUUUGUAAUUUUAAGAAAGCUGGAUGAGAACUAUUUGGUUCAAAAAACUAGUAUUUAGCUAGUUAUGAUAGGAAAAAACUUGAGAGGUUAAAUUUAAAAAAUUUCCAAAAUUUUGUAUCCAUUUUGAUAAAUUUCCCUAAAAUUUAAGCUUCGGGAUUAACAAAGCAUAAGCCAGAGCCCAGCAUGUUCUUCAAUUCACGAUAUUAUGAACCAAUAGUUACUAUGUAUUAUAUUAUUCUUAGAAUUUUUUUAUUUUAUUCUUUUAUGUUUUAAAACCACCAGAUUUCUUCUCAUGUUAUAAUGAUAAACAACCUAAUAAACUCUAUAGAGAGCAACUUGCUCUCUGUUUAAUAGUUAAAUAUGAUAGUUAAAAAUGAAUGAUUUCAAUACUACUUUUGAAGUAAAAAAAAUAUUGACAAAGCCCAAAAUAUUGUUAACAUUUAGGGUGUUCUAGUAAAUUUUAAAAAAGGAUAAGGAAACAAUUAAUUUUUUUUUGAAAUAAAUGGGGUUUGUGAUUGAUAUUGUUUGAAAUCAUAUUUUUGUAUUUGUUUUAUAAUGUAAAAAUAAUUAUUUUUGCGAAUUUAAAAAUGUAUUUCAUAGCUUGUCUCUAAAAUAGUAUUUGAAAAUGAAAACUUAAAACCAUUUUUAGCUGUUUGUCUGAAAAUAUAUAGAGCUGAAAAAAAUUGUGUUAUAAUGUAAGAAUUUAAGGGAGUUUAUUAAAAUAUUAAAAAUAAAAUUAAUAUGUUCUAAAAACUAAAAAUAUUAAAUAAAAUAACAAAAUAUUAUAUAUUUAGUAAAGUGAUUUGUCUACAAGUGCAAUUUAUCAAUGCGAAUGUAUUGGACGAAAAAUUUUCAAUUGGAAACUAGAAAACUUAAGAGGGUGUAUUUGCUAUCAUUUUCUCUUAAGCAUUUUCACUAUACGAGUACAAAAAUUAAUUAAAUUUAUUUGGUUCACCAUUUUCUAAGAAAAUGUGAGGAAUAAAUUAUUUAAGUGUUAUUUUUUAUAAAAGACGUUGAAAAACAUUAAGUUAGUGUUCUCUAUGUUUUUUUGUCGCUAAAGUCAUGCAUAUAGGACAACAACCUAUCUUUAUUUUUUUUAUUCGACAAGUGACUAAUGUAAGGACCAAAUUUACUUUUCUUUUAGUUUAUGUCUAAAGUUAAUCACUUAUGUUAAUCAUUUAUUUCUGAACAAUAUGGGAAUUUUAAGAAAUACAAAAAUCUUUCAAAUUAAACAGUUAUGAAUUUAUUAAAAUAAAUAUGGAUUUUCAUAACAUACAUCUCUCAAUCUCUCCACUAUCUUCCACUAACAACCCUUGACUUAUUUAUAAAUUCUACUAUCUUAAAAAGAAUUAUAAUCCAUAGUGUUUCUCUCAUCUCUUUAUUUUGUACACACUUAAAAUAAAUAAAAUCAAUCUAUAAUAUAUUGCUCUUUUAUUUUACUCUUUAUCUUGUGUUGUUUCUUUAUUUUUCUAUUGCCGGCUAAAAACUUUUCUAAUACAAUAUGUUUGUAAUUUUAAGAAAGCUGGCCAUUUCUUUUCUCUAAUAGGAGUUAUAAGAACGCCAUUCAAAAUGCAAUACCAAAUGCUGAAAAAUGAGAAUGAUUCAUUCUCGCGAAAUACAAAAACCAGUGAGCAAACGCAUUUUACACGAUUUUGUUUUUGGAAAACGGAAAACGCCAAAACAAAACCAGUACCAAACUCACCUUGUUUAAAAUCCUAAAAUUGUGUCGCCAAGGACUGCUUACUUUGGAACACGGCGCGGCCCCAGAACUGCCGUCGUUUUGGUGUUCUGAAGUGUGAAGAUAAACACGACGACCUUUUUCGUGAAUCCCUGAGGCAUCAUAAAACGAAUCAGCUGAGGCGUUCUUGUUCUUCUCCUUUUCAGUAAGGAGCACGAGCUGGUGAGUGAAUUCUUUCAACUGAACGAAAUUCAAUUACAUUAGUAUUAUCUGUAAGUUUUCGUUUUCGAAGAUGUAUGGAUUAUUCUAUAGAAGUAAUCGAAGGCUAUCACUAGCACAAGUGUUAUCAAGUAGUAAUAGGUCUAUUGCGCAAGAUUUAGCCACCUCUUAUUUGGAUUUGUUUUCUGGUUUGGGUUUGAAAGUUCAGAACGCAAGGUUGUUUAAUCCUUUUGGCGUUAAGUUAUUCUCAACUGAAGACGAACAAAUUAAAAGGAAAGUGCCAAAAGAAUGCUCAUUUACGGUGUCAUGCCUCAUAAACUCACGUGGGUUGUCCCCAAAAAUUGCAAAAUCUGUUGCCGAAAGAGUAAAGCUUCAAUCUUCGAAACAACCAGAUUCAGUCCUUCAAUUUUUGAAAAAUCGUGGGUUCAAUGGUUCCCAAAUUGCUAAACUUGUUAGGGUGCGCCCACAGUUACUUUUUGCCCAUCCCGAGAGGUCUCUCUUACCUAAAAUUGAGUUCUUGAACUCUAUUGGGGCCACAGACGCUGAACUUGCUGAUGUUUGCUCGUCAAUCCCAGCCAUUUUGGAUCAAAGCUUGGAGAAUGUACUCAUUCCCAAUUAUAAAUUCCUCAAAAGUGUGUUUUUCUCCAAUGAAAAUGUUAUUAAAGUUUUGAGGAAAAAAAGAACGUGGUUAUUUAGUUUUGAUUUGCAGAAGACUGUGUCUCUGAUACGCCGCGGAGGUCGUCAAGGAUUCCAAAGCCUAGCAACAAGUAUGCUGGGUACGUUUGAAUUAUGCAUGGAUGCUUGGAAGUCGAACGGUCACAUGGCUCAAGACUCAUGCAUACGUUACAUGCAACAUGCAGCACGUUGGAAGAAUGGUCGUUGGAGCAGUCUACAGGGAUCAUGGGUUGAUUCGGUCAACAUGGGAUCACUUGCUGAUUUAAUGGAGAUUUAUUAUUUGGUUUAAUUCAUAUUCGGUUGUUUUGUUAAGCUAAAAGAAUAAGUCAAGUUGUUAGCUUAGUACCUGCCUACAAUCUCGAGUGAUAGUUAGAUUGUUUGGCUAAGUUGUUUCAAGUAUAAAUAAGCUCCAACAGACUUGAAUAAAGGCAUUGACUAUUAUCCAAAAACUCAAAUAUCUUGUGGUCUUAUUUCUCACCCUGAGUAGAAAUAUAUUCAAUCACUUACGCUUUGACUGGGACCGCUAUCAGUGGUAUCAGAGCGAGGUUACUAUGUCAACCAACAAGGAACGCAUAGAGCGUGUGGAAGUUGAGAUCGGAAGCUUGCAAGAUGGAAUGAAGCGUAUGGAACUAGGGCUUACUGACAGAUUAGAAGAAACAAUGAGCAAACUGGUAGAUUCACUUUCAACUUCAAAAGGGACGCCAAGUCACAACAAUUCUGAUCAUGCCGGAUCCUCACAGCCUAGCCGUGGAGAUAGUGAAGGGAGCCGCCAUCAGCUAGCAUCAAGACUUACCAAACUGGAGUGUCCACGAUAUUCCGGCGACGACCCAACGGAGUGGUAUAAUAGGAUCAUGCAAUUUUUCGAGUACCAGGAAGCAACCAACGAACAGAAAGUCUCCUUAGCUUCUUUUAUCCUAGAAGGAGAGGCCAACCAAUGGUGGCAGUGGAUGCGACGAACUUAUCAAGAAGAGGAAAAGACAAUAACGUGGGAAAUUUUUGUGGAGGAGCUUUCACUACUAGAAAAAUAGUCUUUUGUGACACUUGUCUUCUGACACUUUAUUAUAAAGUAUCAGUAAUUACAUGUAUUUGGGGCAUUUUCCGUGUUUAACAGAUAAGUAUCACAAAUUGCUAAUACUACGGCAUCAGUAAAUUAAAUAUCACAGAUUCGUGACACUAAAGUAUUAGUAGUUAAAAAAAUAAAAUUUUAAUUUUGUAUCUAGUAAUAAUUGAACCGAAGACCCCUAUGCCAUAACCUUUUGAUUUUAACCGCUAUACCACUCGGCCACAAAUUGCAUUUUUGAACUUAUAAAUUAAUAAAUAAAUAAUUAUUAAAACUUAAAACCUAAAACCUAGAAAUCUUUCAUGUAUGGUCUGUGUGAAACCUAAGACCUAAAAAUUUUUGUUAAGUCAAAAAUCUAUCUCACGACCGCCGAAGCUUUCUUCCUUCUUUCUCCUUCCCUCUCUCUCGCUCUCUUUCUCUCUCCAACAAUGAUCUACCUUGAAAGCCGCCUCUGUCAACACCUUGAAACCCGUCAUCCUUAAGCUAAAAUAUCCCUGAAAAGAACCCAGAAAGUGCUGUGAAGAAUUUGGGCAAAGCUAAGGUUUGAAAGUCCGAAUCAGUGUUGUGGUAACUCUUUGUCUCAUUCUCUAUUCUCAUUGUUUAAGUAUUUAUCUGUUAAUUGAUUGAUGUUUAUUGAGUGCAAAUGAGAGCUUGCACUUGUUUGGAAAUCUAGCCAUCUAGGGUUUUUGUUGCUUAUAAUCUAAUUUAUUGUUUAAUAAAAUAAAUAAAACGCAACUUUAUUAUAGGUGGAAUUCAGUUUAUUAAGUGAAAGAAUGAUUACAAUUGGUGAUUAUGGAUUUAGGUUGAAUGCAAUUUGUUAAUUAAAAGAAUAAUGGUAAUCGACAAUCAUGGGUUUAGUAUGUAUUAUUUCGUUUAAUGGUGUGUAUGAAAACCCAAACCUAAAAUUUUCUUAAGUAAAAAUCUCCAUUCUCCCUCACGAAAUUAUUCUGAAAAUUUGAGGAUUGAUAGACUGUUGUUGUGAACUUGGUUGUUUCCGAACUUGACUAAAUGACUUUCAAUUGAUUUGAAAGUUUGAUUAAACUAAGUUUAAAUGAGAACAUUUUAAUUCUGGAAAUUUUGGAAUGAAUUGGGUUUAUAUUUGAUUUUGAAUGGAUUUCUCAAUAUGGUUGGUUGUUGUCCAAUUUUAUUAGAAAUUACAUAUGUACCAUGUUUGAUAUUGCAAACGUAUAGUCUAACAGAGUUAGAAUAAGCUGAAAUUCGGAUAAACUACACUUCUAUUUGCAUACUUCGAAUAUGGAAAAUUUUAUUUUGAUUGAACUUGUAAUUUAUUUUUAAUGAUUUUUCAAACUCUGCUGUCUCUGCAGUAACUUUUUUUGACAGAACUGUUCAUUAAUCUUUGAUCCUAUCAAACACCAGCCUAAUGAUAUCGGAAUAGCCUCAAAUUUUAAUAUGUUGUUGACUUAUAUGUCCACUUAAAAUCUGGAAAGUAUCAUUAUGAUAUAUUUAGUAUUUUAAAUUUAAUAUAUAUUCAAACACUUGCUGUUACUUUUACAGUUUCAUAUGCAAUUUUGACAGAACUGUUAAUUAAUCUUUGAUCCUAUCAAACACCAGCCUAAUGAUAUCGGAAUAGCCUCAAAUUUUAAUAUGUUGUUGAAUUAUAUGUCCACUUAAAAUCUGGAAAGUAUCAUUAUGAUAUAUUUAGUAUUUUAAAUUUAAUAUACAUUCAAACACCUGCUGCUACUUUUACAGUUUCAUAAGCAAUUUUAACUUAUAUAGUUUAUCAUGUGAGAAGCAAAUGUAGAGUUGUCCAAAUGACUUGGAAAUUUGAUUUGUGGUGCAUGGACAUGUCUAAUUAUGUUUUGUAAGUUUCAUAACAUUCCAAAUUAAAUUAAAGAAAAUCUUAAAUUCAAGUUGUCAAUGUUUCCUAUUAAAUCUGAUUAGUGAUAAAUCUACUAACUUGCAGUACUUUUCAGGGAAAAAAAUGUGUCAACACUGUGAAUUGCAAUGGGAGAAGAAAGUACCAAAGGCAUAAAUCUUUUUUCAUUAUAUUUGGGACUAUUCUUAAAGGUUAGUCUUUUCCCUUUUCCUUUUUUUCUUUUUUAUUUAAGGUAAUCAUAUUCUUUUUAAUUUUAAUUACAAUCAACUGAAAAUUUGAGGAUUGAUAGACUGUUGUUGUGACCCUGGUUGUUUCCGAACUUGACUAAAUGACUUUCAAUUGAUUUGAAAGUUUGAAUAAACUAAGUUUAAAUGAGAACAUUUUAAUUCUGGAAAUUUUGGAAUGAAUUGGGUUUAUAUUUGAUUUUGAAUGGAUUUCUCAAUAUGGUUGGUUGUUGUCCAAUUUUAUUAGAAAUUACAUAUGUACCAUGUUUGAUAUUGCAAACGUAUAGUCUAACAGAGUUAGAAUACGCUGAAAAUCGGAUAAACUACACUUCUAUUUGCAUACAUCUAAUCUGGAAAAUUUUAUUUUGAUUGAACUUGUAAUUUAUUUUUAAUGAUUUUUCAAACUCUGUUGUCUCUGCAGUAACUUCUUUUGACAGAACUGUUCAUUAAUCUUUGAUCCUAUCAAACACCAGCCUAAUGAUAUCGGAAUAGCCUCAAAUUUUAAUAUGUUGUUGACUUAUAUGUCCACUUAAAAUCUGGAAAGUAUCAUUAUGAUAUAUUUAGUAUUUUAAAUUUAAUAUACAUUCAAACACCUGCUGCUACUUUUACAGUUUCAUAAGCAAUUUUAACUUAUAUAGUUUAUCAUGUGAGAAGCAAAUGUAGAGUUGUCCAAAUGACUUGGAAAUUUGAUUUGUGGUGCAUGGACAUGUCUAAUUAUGUUUUGUAAGUUUCAUAACAUUCCAAAUUAAAUUAAAGAAAAUCUUAAAUUCAAGUUGUCAAUGUUUCCUAUUAAAUCUGAUUAGUGAUAAAUCUACUAACUUGCAGUACUUUUCAGGGAAAAAAAUGUGUCAACACUGUGAAUUGCAAUGGGAGAAGAAAGUACCAAAGGCAUAAAUCUUUUUUCAUUAUAUUUGGGACUAUUCUUAAAGGUUAGUCUUUUCCCUUUUCCUUUUUUUCUUUUUUAUUUAAGGUAAUCAUAUUCUUUUUAAUUUUAAUUACAAUCAAACCAAUUCAACAGCAAAUGAAGAUAACAUUUUUUAAAUGCAUUCAGUUUUUGACAAUAGCAAAAAGAAAAAGGAAAAAUGAUACUAGUUUAGGCUUUAGGAAAUUUGCAUAAUGAUUCUUGCAUUGCAGCUGCCUCUAUCUCGGUGCUCUCGGAGAAGUAAUCUUGCUUGAUUUUGCAUGAUAGUUGAUACAAGCCCGUCCUAGCCAUUGCAAAAUUGACACUAAAAAGGUUCCAAUUUUUAUAUUGUAGUUUGAAAAGUCUAUAAUGUUUGCUAUGCUGAUGCCCCAUUUGAAUGUUGGAGCCUAAAAAUGAACGGUUUUAGGACCAGCUGGGUGGUUCCAGAAAGCUAGGAGCUUGUUAGCUAUUCUUUUUAAUUGAGCUAAUUUAACUUAAAUAUUAGCCCGAUUAUUGAUUUCUAUGGUUUGCGAUUGAUUUGANNNNNNNNNNNNNNNNNNNNNNNNNNNNNNNNNNNNNNNNNNNNNNNNNNNNNNNNNNNNNNNNNNNNNNNNNNNNNNNNNNNNNNNNNNNNNNNNNNNNNNNNNNNNNNNNNNNNNNNNNNNNNNNNNNNNNNNNNNNNNNNNNNNNNNNNNNNNNNNNNNNNNNNNNNNNNNNNNNNNNNNNNNNNNNNNNNNNNNNNNNNNNNNNNNNNNNNNNNNNNNNNNNNNNNNNNNNNNNNNNNNNNNNNNNNNNNNNNNNNNNNNNNNNNNNNNNNNNNNNNNNNNNNNNNNNNNNNNNNNNNNNNNNNNNNNNNNNNNNNNNNNNNNNNNNNNNNNNNNNNNNNNNNNNNNNNNNNNNNNNNNNNNNNNNNNNNNNNNNNNNNNNNNNNNNNNNNNNNNNNNNNNNNNNNNNNNNNNNNNNNNNNNNNNNNNNNNNNNNNNNNNNNNNNNNNNNNNNNNNNNNNNNNNNNNNNNNNNNNNNNNNNNNNNNNNNNNNNNNNNNNNNNNNNNNNNNNNNNNNNNNNNNNNNNNNNNNNNNNNNNNNNNNNNNNNNNNNNNNNNNNNNNNNNNNNNNNNNNNNNNNNNNNNNNNNNNNNNNNNNNNNNNNNNNNNNNNNNNNNNNNNNNNNNNNNNNNNNNNNNNNNNNNNNNNNNNNNNNNNNNNNNNNNNNNNNNNNNNNNNNNNNNNNNNNNNNNNNNNNNNNNNNNNNNNNNNNNNNNNNNNNNNNNNNNNNNNNNNNNNNNNNNNNNNNNNNNNNNNNNNNNNNNNNNNNNNNNNNNNNNNNNNNNNNNNNNNNNNNNNNNNNNNNNNNNNNNNNNNNNNNNNNNNNNNNNNNNNNNNNNNNNNNNNNNNNNNNNNNNNNNNNNNNNNNNNNNNNNNNNNNNNNNNNNNNNNNNNNNNNNNNNNNNNNNNNNNNNNNNNNNNNNNNNNNNNNNNNNNNNNNNNNNNNNNNNNNNNNNNNNNNNNNNNNNNNNNNNNNNNNNNNNNNNNNNNNNNNNNNNNNNNNNNNNNNNNNNNNNNNNNNNNNNNNNNNNNNNNNNNNNNNNNNNNNNNNNNNNNNNNNNNNNNNNNNNNNNNNNNNNNNNNNNNNNNNNNNNNNNNNNNNNNNNNNNNNNNNNNNNNNNNNNNNNNNNNNNNNNNNNNNNNNNNNNNNNNNNNNNNNNNNNNNNNNNNNNNNNNNNNNNNNNNNNNNNNNNNNNNNNNNNNNNNNNNNNNNNNNNNNNNNNNNNNNNNNNNNNNNNNNNNNNNNNNNNNNNNNNNNNNNNNNNNNNNNNNNNNNNNNNNNNNNNNNNNNNNNNNNNNNNNNNNNNNNNNNNNNNNNNNNNNNNNGUUGGAGCCCAAAAAUGAAUGGUUUUAGGACCAGCCGGGUGGUUCCAGAAAGCUAGGAGCUUGUUAGCUAUUCUUUUUAAUUGAACUAAUUUAACUUAAAUAUUAGCCCGAUUAUUGAUUUCUAUGGUUUGCGAUUGAUUUGAGUUUGACAUUCUUGUUUUGUGUUGGUUUGAGUUUGACAUCCUAGUUUAAGACUUUGAAGGCUUCCAAGAAAUGAUUUUGGAUGAUGAGCAUAUGAGUAAUAGUUUGAAAAUUAAUUUACUGUAUCAAAUAUAUACUUAGUGUAGUAUAUUAAUUUUAAGAACUAUGGAUUAUUCCAUGAAUAUUCUAGUAAAUAGUUAUGUUAUAUAUGCAUGUCUUAAUAUAUAAUAAUUAUAUUUUGAAGUUUGUUUUUUUUCCCUUUCUAGGUUUAGGAAAAAUGUUUAAAGUGAUUUUGGGUUAUGAUGUCAACCAAGUUAAAGCAACAUUAUUUGUGAGUGGAAAUAUAUAAUAAUUAUAUUUUUAUUCUACUUUUUUUUUUCUUAAAGUUUUAUAAUUAGGCAAAAUUAAUGAAUACUUAAUUACAAUUUAGGGUGAUAUUCUUUAAAUGGUUCACAUGAAUAGAUUUAAGUAGUAUAAUAAAUCUCAUACUCACUUUAUAAAGGCUUAACUAAGUUUGCAAAUAUUAUUUCUUUUAGUAGUAAUAAUUUUGGAUCGAACUCUCAAAUUAUUGAAAUAUUUUAUGUCCAAACUUUAUUAUGCCUAAUAUAAAUAUGGAGAUUCAUAGUUAUUUUAUGUCCAGUUUAAGGAAACUGCAGUUUAAGGACUUAUUUUUUGCCUUGUUAAAUAAGCUUUUAGAAUGAAUAAAUUGAGGAAAUGAGUGGUGAUUUAUUUAUAAUAGAGCAUUUGUGAUAGCUUUUAACUAUGCACAAAAAUCAUUUGGUAUAUGUAGAUAAAGUAACAUGCUUGUGCUGAAAGUAGAUAUUAUAUUGAAAACUUCUUGUCUGCUAUAGUUUGCUAUAUAUAUAACCUUUACUAAAAGAGGAUAAUUGAGUUUAUUUAUAAAUAGCUUAUGAAUAUUUUUUUCUUUCGAACAAAAUAAUUUUAUUUCUGUUAAUUGUUGUUUCUCUAAUGGCUGGAUAUUGGCAGCUAAUUUUUUUUUUCUUUUCCAUGUAUUCAUAUGCAGAUUUGAUCAAUGUGUUUGAAGUGUUUAUUCCUCAACUUCACUUAUAUCCUAACCCAUACAGUCUAUUGAAUGGAGAAGCUGCUGGUGUGAUAACGCAAUUAUACUACUCAUAUUCAAAGAGUGAAAGGCAGUCAUCCUUCUCAAUUUAGCUUCUAGAUUUAUUAAAUUUAGCCACAAGUAGUAGGCAUUUGAUUGGAUGGUAGAAAUUGUUAUGUAUUGAAUUUGGAUUAUUUAGUUAUGAGAGUAGGAUAUCUCAUAUUUUUGCUAUUGAAGUUGAAUUUGUAAUAUAUACUAAUAAUAUUUAAAUGUGAAAUGAAAGAUUUUGUGAUAUAAAUCAAUUUCUUUUUGUUAUUUUGUGGUGCCUUUUAAUUUUACCAACAAAUCAAUAGGCAAUUAUCCAAUUCAAUUUUUUAUUUUUUAAAAUAAAUUAACUAGUGAUGCCAUGGUAACAGUAAUCAUAGACACUAAUAAAAUAUCAAUAACUACUAAUACUAUGGUGUCAUAAUAUCGGUGAUACUUUAGUAAUAGUAAUCACUGACACCACUUACAAGUGUCACUAUUUUUCUGACUCCCAGAUUACUGACACAAUUAACAAGUGUCAGUGAAAGUAAUUUCUGACACUAUUCUAAAAUCAGUAAAGACCAUUUUUCUAGUAGUGUUUGGGCACGAUUUGGCCCUACUGAGUGCGAAGAUUAUGAUGAGGCGUUGUCCAGGGUUAAGCAGACAGGGUCACUACGUGAUUAUCAGAGGGAAUUCGAAAGGCUUGGGAACCGGGUACGAGACUGGACGCAAAAGGCCUUGGUCGGGACCUUUAUGGGAGGAUUGAAGCCGGAAAUCUCAGAGGAAAUUCGGAUGUUUCGGCCCAAAACUUUAAAAGAAGUUAUAAGCCUCGCACGUAUGAAGGAUGAUCAAUUGACGCGACAAAGGAAGUUGCUGCAACCACAGUACCUCAACCGUACACCACCAGCACCAACAAACAAUACCCAUGCCCAACCAACGAGACCCAUCAAACGGCUGACUUGGGACGAAAUGCAGCGACAUCGAGCAAUGGGACUUUGCUUCAAUUGCAACGAUCGAUUUACAGCAGGUCAUAAGUGCACCCAACCUCAGCUAUUGCUCCUUGAAAGUGAGACAACGAAUGAUGAAACUACAUAUGAGGGAAUUCCUGAAGUCUUAUGCACAGAACCGGACACUAGAGAGCCAACCGAUCCAAAAAUCACUUUCUAUGCCCUCACUGGAUGGGCAACCCCAAGAACCAUGCGGGUCACGGCAAAUGUAGGACCAUAUGAGAUUAUGGUUCUGAUCGAUAACGGUUCAACUCACAAUUUCAUCAGCUCGCGAAUGACCAACAUGUUACGGCUGCCAAUCAUUCCCACAACAGGAUUUUCGGUGCGAGUGGCAAACGGAGAAACGCUAUCAUGCGAGGGAAAAUUCGAACGGGUUCAGGUAUUAUUACAAGAAGUUCCAUUCACUUUGACUCUUUAUUCACUUCCAAUUACAGGGCUGGAUAUGGUGCUGGGAGUCCAGUGGCUUGAGAUGCUAGGCUCAGUGGUUUGCAACUGGAAACAACUUACCAUGGAUUUCACUUGGGAGAACAAAAGUUGCCGGUUACAAGGCAUCGGGCCUCAAUCAAUCCAAACGGCAUCCUUGACCGAAAUUACCAAAGAGCUGAGACAACAGCAGUCCGAUUUUGCCAUUUGUUUCCAUGUGAAUGUAGAAGACUCUCUCAACACAACAACUCCAGAUAUGUAAGACUUGUUAAAGGAAUACAACACUUUAUUUCAAGAGCCAACAAAACUGCCACCUAGACGAGAAAUCGACCAUAACAUCACAUUGAAAGAGGGAACUGAGCCAGUCAACGUACGGCCAUACCGCUACGCUUAUUUCUAGAAAGCCGAAAUUGAAAAACAAGUCCAGGAGAUGCUGAAUUCGGGACUCAUUCGGCCUAGUACCAGCCCUUUUUCAUCACCAGUACUACUUGUAAAAAAAAAAAAUGGAAGUUGGCGAUUUUGCACUGACUAUCGGUCUCUCAAUAACGCCACUGUUAAAGACCGAUUUCCAAUCCCUACAGUCGAUGACAUGUACUUCACUAAACUGGACCUAAGGGCCGGAUACCAUCAAGUACGUGUAAACCCAGCCGACAUACACAAAACGGCUUUCCGCACACACAACAGACAUUACGAAUACUUAGUAAUGCCGUUUGGCUUAUGCAACGCACCAUUGACAUUCCAGGCCAUCAUGAAUUCUAUCUUCCGUCCCUAUCUCAGGAAAUUUAUCCUUGUUUUCUUUGACGAUAUACUGAUAUACAGCCCCUCUUGGCGUAGCCACCUUACUCGUGUUAAGCAGGCAAUGGAGGUUCUUAAACAUCAUCAAUUUUUCCUUAAAGUAAGUAAGUGCACUUUUGGCCAACAAGAACUCGAGUACCUCGGCCACAUAAUUACCAGCCACGGGUAAACGUAGAUGAGACAAAAAUUGCGGCCAUGGUCUCCUGGCCUCAACCGAAGAACAUCUCAGAGCUACGGGGAUUCCUUGGCCUUACGGGUUACUACAUAAAGUUCGUCCAAGGAUAUGGAGUUUUAGCUCGACCACUCACGAAUCUUCUCAAAAAAGGGUAGUUUGAAUGGACUGCAGAAGCGGACAAAGCUUUUAUCAAUUUAAAAAAGGCAAUGACAAGUACACCUACAUUAGCCAUGCCUAAUUUUAAUGAAACUUUUGUUAUUGUGACAGAUGCAUCCGGUGACGGCAUCGGCGCAAUACUCCAGCAACAAGGGUAGCCCAUCGCUUUUAUGAGUCGUGCCUUGGGAGUCACAAAAAAAUCUUAGUCCACAUACGCAAAAGAGAUGUUGGCGAUUAUAGAAGCUAUCCGUGUAUGGCGACCUUAUCUGCUGGGACGAAAGUUUAUCAUCCAAACCGAUCAACGCAGCCUUAAGUACCUUUUGGAGCAGAAAAUUACGACACCCGAACAGCAACAAUGGCUGGCCAAAUUGAUGGGGUUUGAAUAUAAAAUCCAAUAUAGACUCGGCCGUGAGAAUGUUGCCGCUGACGCCCUUUCACGACGACCUCACAAUUAUGCUCUUAACAGUUUAUUUGUGGCACAGGUAUCUAUUUGGAACGAAAUAAAAACGGCUGCCCAAGAUGAUGAUUACAUGCAGCAAAUUACACAUCAGGCCCUGACUCAACCUGCUGGCCCUUAUUUCAUGCGUAACAGGCUGAUUUUCUUCAAGGGCCGAGUUGUAGUUCCUCUUCGACUCCGUCAAUCAUUACUUUUUGAAGCCCACGACACUAAGAUGGGAGGUCAUUAAGGAGUUCUACGUACUUACAAACGUUUGAAACAACAAUUCUAUUGGCCUUCAAUAUUUCAAACGGUUCAUAACUAUGUGGGUAAAUGCGAGAUUUGUCAAAAAACGAAAGCAUCAACUCUUAAGCCUGCGGGUCUCCUCCAGCCCUUGCAAAUUCCUUGCCAAUUGUGGGAUGAUAUCACGCUCGACUUCGUUGAAGGGCUGCCAAACUCACACGGUAAAAAUUCUAUUCUAGUGGUGGUGGAUCGGCUCAGCAAGAGUGCACACUUUAUGGCCUUGACUCACCCAUUCACAGCAAAAACAGUGGCUGAGAAGUUUAUUGAUGGAGUGGUAAAAUUACAUGGCAUGCCGAAAUCAAUAAUCAGUGAUCGAGACCCUAUUUUUAUUAGCAAGUUUUGGAAGGAGUUUUUUCAUAUGUCAGGUACACAACUCAAGAUGAGUUCUGCGUACCAUCCGCAAACCGACGGUCAGACGAAAGUUAUUAAUAGAUGUCUUGAACAAUACCUACGAAGCUUUGUUCACCAAUGGCCAAAGCAAUGGAACUCUUACCUACCUUGGGCAGAAUACUGGUACAACACAACGUACCAUGAGUCCACAGGUAUGACUCCUUUUUUGGCUUUGUAUGGGCGACAUCCACCGGUAGUACUAAUGUAUCAUGUGGGAUCUUCUCCAGUGCACGAGGUAGAUCAAGCUUUGUUGUCUAGGGAUGAGUUGCUGCGACAACUAAAACAGAAUUUGGAAAUGGCAACCAAUCGCAUGAAACAAUUUGCGGAUACAAAAUGGCGCGACGUGGAGUUUAAGGAGGGUGACAUGGUAUUCCUAAGACUUCCCCCGUAUAGGCAGACUACUGUAUUCCGUCGUGCUCAUCAAAAGUUGGCCAGCAAAUACUUUGGGCCAUAUCCAAUUCUGCAAAGAGUGGGUCAAGUGGCUUAUGAGCUUAAACUACCGACGGGAUCUCGAGUGCAUCCGGUAUUCCAUGUGUCCUUACUCAAAAAAUAUGUUGGUGUGAUGCCUCAAUUCAGCGCAGAUCUUCCAUAUGUCGAUGAUGACGGAGUACUCGUUUUGGAACCGGACAAAAUUAUUGAUGUUCGUUGGCUUAAAAGAGGUGGCAAGUUGGUGGAACAAAGUCUUGUCCGUUGGAAACGCCUUCCACAUGAGGAUGCAACAUGGGAAGAUUCAGAGUUCCUAGCAAAGCAAUUCCCUCACCUGAUCCUUGAGGACAAGGGUCCUCUUCGUGGAGGCGGUAUUGAUACGCCGCGGAGGUCGUCAAGGAUUCCAAAGCCUAGCAACAAGUAUGCUGGGUACGUUUGAAUUAUGCAUGGAUGCUUGGAAGUCGAACGGUCACAUGGCUCAAGACUCAUGCAUACGUUACAUGCAACAUGCAGCACGUUGGAAGAAUGGUCGUUGGAGCAGUCUACAGGGAUCAUGGGUUGAUUCGGUCAACAUGGGAUCACUUGCUGAUUUAAUGGAGAUUUAUUAUUUGGUUUAAUUCAUAUUCGGUUGUUUUGUUAAGCUAAAAGAAUAAGUAAAGUUGUUAGCUUAGUACUUGCCUACAAUCUCGAGUGAUAGUUAGAUUGUUUGGCUAAGUUAUUUCAAGUAUAAAUAAGCUCCAACAGACUUGAAUAAAGGCAUUGACUAUUAUCCAAAAAAUCAAAUAUCUUGUGGUCUUAUUUCUCACCCUGAGUAGAAAUAUAUUCAAUCACUUACGCUUUGACUGGGACCGCUAUCAGUCUCCGAAACUUGCAUUCUUGAGAGACCUCGGAAUGCCCGAGGCCUAUUUUGCACUGAUUUUAUCAUGUUAUCCCCCAAUUGUCCUCCAAAGACAGGAUAAGUUCUAUGGAAAUGUUAAGAAGGUCAUCAAAAUGGGUUUUGAUCCUCAAAAAUGUGAAUUUGUCCAUGCAAUGCAGGUAUUUUCUUCAAUUGGUCAAUCAACUUUGGAGUGCAAAUUGGAUGUCUUGAGGAGGUGGGGUUGGUCUGAUGAGGACAUUAGGUUGGCAUUUAGAAAGUGUCCCAUUUAUAUGAGUGCAUCUAAGACAAAAUUAGGCAGCGUAUUCAAUUUUUUGGUAAACAAGAUGGGUUGGCAGCCUUCAGCUAUUGCCCAUGUUCCAAGUGCUUUUAUGUAUAGUUUGGAGAGGAGGAUCAUCCCCCGUUGUUCAGUUAUAAGAGUUUUGCUUUCAAAGGGCUUGAUCAAUGAAGAAAAUAAAAUCUGUUUAUCUUCUCUUGUGAUAAAUUCUAACAAGCGCUUCUUGGAUACAUUCGUGACCAAAUAUCAGGAUCAUGUGCCUCAAUUGUUGAAUAAGCUUUUAUGAGCAGAGAAUAAGCUUCUACAACCCUGUUUAUCUAUGCCUGAAUUUUGUUAUAGGAUGUUGCUCUUUGCCGCAACUCAAACAGAACUUGUACCUUUCAUCUUUAUCACUUUAUGAAUCAUGGGAAAUGUUUUUUUUAAUUAAUUAUUUUUUUUCCUUUUUCGGAGUCGUUGAAAUACACUGAAGUUUCUCAAAGCAGCAUAAGAUGAAAUAGUCUUUCAUCAAUGUGUUUUUUUAUUUCCUUUUUCCAUCUAUCUGAAUGUCUGAAUGAGAAAGAAACAGCUUCUAAAUUUUGAUAGACAUUUUGGAUCAAGUCAAAGUCCAGCCCAUCUUAGUUGUUCAGUAAUUAUAAUUGGGUUUAAAUUGCAUCCCAAUCGCUGAUCUGUUUGCUCAAACCAGAUGGUGAACAAUCAAAUUUUUUUUUUUUACUUAUAUAAUUUUUAAAAAAGAUAAGAGGGUGAGAAAAAAAGUUUAAAUUAUUUUUUUUGGCCUCCUACCUCUUUAAAUAUUUGAACUCGGAUGAUCAGCCUAAGAAAAUUACUUAAAAACUACUUCAUGAAAAUUUUAGAAGCUGAUGGUAAACAAAGGUACUCCAUAAUAUAUCUAUUAAUUACAAAAUCUUUCCAAUUUUUAUUAUACACCAUAUUACAUAAUGCUUAAAAAAAUAACAAUAAAUAAAUAGCGUGCUUCAUUUAUUUGUCAUUCAUUUCAUGACCAAGCCACUAUUCAGGCUUUCAUUUCCUUUCUAAUCAAAAGACAAUUCAAAACAAGGCGGUUGCUAUGUUACAGAAUCUGUAACAUACACACCCAAUGAGAGGAGCACACAUGUCUUGAGGGGAGAGAAAAGCCACCAAAUGAGUGUAUAUGGGAGUUGGCUAAAGCUGUUCGUUUUCUUGCUCAGAACGGGCGGAUAUGCGCAAGUAGGAAGUUUCCUCAGCCUGAGAGUUCAAAGAAAUCAUAUCGCUUUGGGUUGCACAGGCUAUAGUAGAAAUUAUUCCUCUUUCGACCAACUUUUUUCAACCGGCUACAAACUGCUUCAAUCGAUAAAAUUAGAAUUAUAACAAUUACACGUGGUGUAAUGUUGUUGAUUUGUUUGUCAAUUUCUUUAAUGUUUGUUACAUUUUAUAUUGUAAGAUAACAAGACCCGUAAGUUAAUAGUGGGUGUAUUUAAUUCUUUUCUAUUUUGGUAUUAUUUUACUAAUAAAGGACUCAUGUAGCUUAUGGCGUAUUUGUUAUACAAGCAGGGAAAAAAAGUAAAUAACCAAAUGCAUGGUUACAGAUUAAAUCAAUUUUUUUUUAAUCAUUCUCUUUAGGAUAUAAAUUCCAAUAAAAUAAAACUGUUUAAAAACCUCUCGACUAAGGCUCAAGGACUUAUUGCACAAGUAGCUUUAAUCUUAUUUUCUUUUAUGAGUUUGAAAGCAUAAGAUUGAUAUGAAGUUUCCAAUUUAUUGAUUGUCCCAAAUCAUUUAGAGCAAAGAAGGAUACGAUAAAGAAUGUCUAGUAUUACUGUAAGUGUAAUGAUCAAUUUUUUUUUCAAGGGUGAAAUGAUAUUUAUAUCUUAUAUUGUUUAAAAUUGAAAUAAAUUUGACAAGAAACUAUGAACAAUAGAUGAUGAAUCAGAUUUCAUGGAAUUAUAUAAAUAGUAAGGCCAGGGAUGACAAAACCUGGGGUUGGGACCAGGAAUGGCAAAUCCCAGCUCCGACACGGACAUGUUUUUUGAACACCUAGGCUAGGCAUUUUGUUCGAGCUUCAAAAGCAUUGGAUUUUAUAUUUUAUAAUAUUAAGUAUGUAUAUGUUUAGAUUUAUAUAAUUUUUAAUUUUUAAUUUUUUUCAAUGAAAUUAGGCAUGAAAAUAUGAAUUUAAAUGUUCAAAAAUUUUAACGUAUGUAAUAGAUUGGCCGAAUAAAUAUAAUUAUUUUAAAUAAUAUAUUUUUUAUAAUUAUUUUAAAUAAAAUUAGAAUUUUGGACACUACCCCUAAUUUAUCAAGUGAUGCCCAAGGCUACGGCCUGACCUCAUCCGUUGACUAGAUGUUACUUGGCCCACAUCGCAUAAGUUCUGUCCAAGUCCAGUUGCACGGAUAUUUUUGACACCCCUAAAUAAGGCUUUAAUGCAAUUAUCCAUAUUUAAUUUGGUCACUUUAUCAACUAGUAAUAAAAUUUCAGUACUUUUAUCAAAAGUACGGCCUUAUGUCCAAUGAACCCCAAUUACUAAAAUGAUCUCAAAUUUCAUCAAUGCAUUUUAUAAAAUGAACUAAAAAAAUUGAAACAAUUGAAUUUGAAUGCUUUCAAACUCAUUAACAAAAUAAUAUUGAAACAACUUGCGUAACAAAUAGGGUGCUAAGUGAGAUGAACCCUUUAUUAGUAAAAUUUUCUGUUUUCUGUGUAAAGAAAAUUUUACGAAUACAAUAAAAUUUAAAAGAGUAAUGAUAUAGCCACAAACUUUUGUACAAACUAAUGUGGCAUGAUAAGAUUAGUUGAAUUAAAUAUCACUUGGCCCACAUGAUUUGUUUUUAUUAUUUUAUAUUUUCAUUCAACCAAUGAAUUAAUGCCACGUCAGUUUGUACAAGAUAAGUUUGUACAAGAGUUUGUGGCUGUAUCAUCACUCAAUUUAAAAAGAGAUUAAAAAGAAGAAAAAUAUGAUAUGAAUAUAAAUGGUAUGAGACAAACACCGAUGCGCAAUUCCAAUAAGAAAACAAAACCAAAGGAGAUCGAGAUAAUUGAGUAAUGAAGUAACCUCAAUAAUGGUGACGCCAAUACCCUGAAAUUCCUUGUGGAUUUCAAGCUUGGAGGGUCUUGAAUUUUGUGUAACAGGUCGAGCAUAAACAAAAGUAUUGUGACCAGAAGAAACACUUGCUUUCACCAUAUACUUACCGAGGUAUCCAGUACCCCCAAAGAUAAGUUUCUUUGGUUUUGUGUUCUUACCUUUCAUUUCUUCCUUUCAUUUCAAUUUGUCUUUUCAUAUUCCCUUCCCUUUUUACACAUUUAUAUGUUGAAAAUGUGAGACUCGACAGUUCAUGCGGAUAUAAUUGCUGCAAACGAACGGAUAUAAUUGAAGAAACAAAUUUAUGAAUGCUAGAAAUAUCUAAGCAUCUAAUAAAUUUCUUUUAGACAGGUAGAAAUAUCUAGGCAAAAGUUGUUAAAAAUUAGCCACAACGAAAAAUGCUAAAUGUGUGGUCACCUAGUGUUUGUAAGGCCUAUAAAGACAUGGCCGUGUAUCCAAUUCAAGCAAUGAAGUUAAGAACAACAAAAUCUUCCACUAGUAAAAUCCUUUCCACUUCCCUUUAUCUUUGAUCAAAUAUUAUUGAUCAAAAAUAUUUUCUACUUUAAUUAUUUUAGCCCACUAUCUACCCCUGCUCCAACACCUGCCUUCUACUCCCUCAAUUUUUGGGAACCGAAUCUAAAAAUUUUUAUAUCAUUGAAUUUAAAGGGGGAAAGAUCAAAAUGGAAGAUCAGUAUGAUAAGUUUCUUUUGAAAAUGAAUUAUUUUUUCAAUAUUUCUUUGAUAAUGUAUCAUUCUCACUAUAAACUAUAUCGUGAUUAGUUAUGUUUUCUGCUUAUUAUUAUCAUUAUUUUAACAUCACAGCAUUUUUCUAUAGAGUAAAAAUAUAUAAAUGCUUAAAAAUAUGCAUGGAGUUCCAUGCAUGUUCUGUUAUUCUUUCUUUUGAUUUAUUGACACAAAACAAGGAUAAGACUAGUUUUGGAAAAUUAUCACUUUAUGAAUUAACUUCAUUUAAUAAGCAAAAUUAUCCUAUUGUGACAUCAUACCCAAACUGGGAUAAUUAGAUAGUUUUUAUUUCAUUUUCUUGAUUUUUUAAUUAUCUAAUAAUACUCAGACUGUGGGGUAUGGUACCCUUAGUUAAAUACUAACUUCAAACAGUUCACAUUCAAAUUAGUGAUACAUAUCUUACACAAGAAACAUAUUUGGUUAUGGUUAAAAAAUUAUAAAUGAUGAGGGUCUGCUUUGAAAUUUAACCAAAAAAAUUCACGUAUUGACCCACUAGAUUUACACUUUGGCCCAAUGGAAUAGAACAUCAUUCUGGUUCUGCUUGUAGUGAUUUUAUCCUUUUAUGACUUUAUAUAAAAGUAAAUAAUUUUAUUAAAAAAAUUAAAUAAAAAAUCAAAAUUCUUACUCUCAGAUAGCUUUACUAGUUCUUCCUCAGAAACGUGAACUCUUUUGAAACUCCAUCCAGUCUUUUGUUCCCAAAGGGAGAUCAAUUCAAGUUGUGAUAUAAUGCUUGCUUGCGGUCGAUAAAUCACAAUUCGAUUGCAUGUCCUUGGAUCAUUUAUCACUUUGAUUGUACAUUUAGCUAUAUCUUCCUCGUAAUUAAAGACAGCUGAUAUAGAUAAAUAGAUGAUAGAACAUCAAAAAGAUAUUCAAAAAAUGAACUUUUAGUGUAAAUUUUAUUUUAAUAUGCGUGGACUCCUGCAUUGGGAAAGUAUACGUACCUUUUGCUUCACCACUUCCAUAAACAACAACAUCAUCAUGUGAUUCAGAAGGACGAAGCAAGACAUUCACAAAGUAAGCACCACAGAGAUUUGCUGAGACAAAGGUGUAGGGAAUUUGAGCUGCUUCUAUUGCCCUUCUCACUAUUCUUUUUGUCUCCAAGCAAGCUUCAAAAGGGGGCAGAGGCCUCACCCUGCUCUCUUCACAUCCAAACUCAGAUGGAAGAAACCUCUAGCAACCAAUACAUAGUGUCUUUAAGAUCUGUUCUAUAUAAACAAAUUUGAAGCAGUUCAGCACUAAAUUGUAAAAAGACACUCGAAUGGUAAAAAGAUGCAAAUAUUAAAUUAGAGUUUGUGAUCUUAGAUAUUUUGCUAAUUAACUAGCCCUCGUAUAUAUUUUUACUUCUUUUUAUAGCUAACUACAAUUGCCUCACCUAAAUCUACAUUUACAUAGUGCGGACGUCCACAUUUACAAGUUUCUAAUAUUUUUCAAUUAAUAAACAAACUAUAUUUCAAUUUCUCCAAAAAAAACAGAGAGGACAACAAGCGAUUUAUUUUAUUUUUUAAAAAGAAAGAGCUUAAUCAAAUACCUUGAUGUUACCAGCAACUUUGAUGGCAUCAACAAUUUUCAGUUGAUCAAGAAACUGAGAACAAUUUUCAGUUGAUCAACUUGAUGUUACCAGCAACUUUGAUGGCAUCAACAAUUUUCAGUUGAUCAAGAAACUGAGGAUAAGCUACAGUAGAUAUCACCACAUCUACUUCCUUAAGUACAGAUACAAUUUUCUCGUGCUCGUCUAGCUCUCCCUAUUUUAAUUUCAACAGUAUUAUUACAAAUAAUAUCGAAGGGCUCCAAUUACAUCAACACAAAAUUAAUCUCAUAAAAAGAAGUAUAAGAGGCUUGAGGCUCGAAUUUCGGCCGUGCAUUUAAAGAGGGAAAAAAAGAGCAAAAAAAUAAAUAAAUAAACAAAACCCAAGGAGAUCGAGAUAAUUGAGUAAUGAAGUAACCUCAAUAAUGGUGACGCCAAUACCCUGAAAUUCCUUGUGGAUUUCAACCUUGGAGGUUCUUGAAUUUUGUGUAACAGGUCGAGCAUAAACAAAAGUUUUGUGACCAGAAGCAACACUUGCUUUCACCAUAUACUUACCGAGGUAUCCAGUACCCCCAAAGAUUAGUAUCUUUGGUUUUGUGUUCUCACCUUCCAUUUCUUCCUUUCACUUCAAUUUAUCUUUCAUCCUCCCUUCCCUUUUUACAUAUUUAUAUAUGAUAUCAG
rnacentral:lncRNA from 1 species